CUAGAAUCACCUUAAAUCUAUCAUCCUAACUGCCGCUCUCCAAUCUGCUCCACUAUCACAAACUUGGUUUCAACACAAGCAAGAAUCCUCGUGGGGUCAAAAAUAUCAAGCUGAACCAACCGGUUGGCUAAGGACUUGAUGUCCAAUGCUAAUGGUCACUCUGAAGCUGAAAGGAAAGCCAAACUCUCUAUACUCACUGCCUUUCGAUUCAAGGCAUCAACUACCAUCUAGUCCUUAGGUUACCCUAACUACUUGUGCUACCUCGAAUUAAGAUACUUCUGGCUAAAAAUGUACUGUAAGUGAAUCUCUCACAAUGCACUCUAUAAAGAUAAUGCCUCCAAAUCUUCAACACGAAGACUACCGCCGCUAGCUCCAAGUCAUGGUUAGGUUAGUUUCGCUUGUGCAUCUUCAGCUGUUUGGAAGCAUAUGCUAUAACUCUGUCCUGCAACAUCAAUACACAACCCAUACACAACCUAAACCAACGUUGGAAGCGUCACAAUAUACUGCAAACCCCUGGCCCACAGCAGGAAGAGUCAGAAUUGGAGUUGAAGUCAAUAAGGCCUGAGCUUCAGAAUGGUAGCCUCACACUUGUCGAACCACACGAAAGGAACAUCCUUUUGAUCUGAUCAACGGCGCUGCAAUAGAAGAAAACCCUUCGACAAACCGCUGGUGGUAACCUACUAACUCGAUGAGACUGUGAACCUCGAGAGGAGUGGGCCUAGCCUAAUCACGAACUGCCUCAAUCUUCGUCGAGUAAACCAUAAUCUCAACCUUGGACACUAUGUGCCCCAAGAACCUGGACACAAUGUGCCCCAAUAAUGCUACAAACUCGAGCCAGAACUCACACUUAGCGAAGUUGGCAUACAACCGCUGAUCCCGCAAGGUCUAGAGCACAAUCCUCAAAUGUUGCUCAUGCUCCUCCAUACUCUUCGAGUGGACUAGGAUGUCAUCGAUGGAGCUAUCACGAUGGAGUACAAAUAAGGCCUGAACACAUGGUUCAUCAAGUCCAUCAGUGCUGCUAUGCUGCUGGGGCAUUGGUCAAACCAAGAGACAUGAUCAAGCACUCGUAAUGACCGUAACGAGUCCUAAAAGAUAGUCUUAGGUAUGUCUACUAUCCUGAUCCGUAAGUGAUGGUAGCCAGAUCUCAGGUUAAUCUUAGAAAACGCGGCUGCACCCUGAAGCUGGUCGAACAGAUCAUCAAUACACGACAUCAGUUACUUAUUUUUAAUAGUCACCUUAUUCAGAUGCCUAUACACAUAUGUAUAGAAUCAUUCUUCACAAAUAGAACAAGAGAACUCCACGUAGAAAUACUAGGCCGAAUAAACCCCUUACUCACAAGAUCCCGGAGCUGUUCCUUCAACUCUUCAACUUAGGUGGAGCAAUGCGGUACAGUGGUAUAGAAAUGGGCCGAGUGCCUGACUCAACAUCAAUACCACACUUGGUUGGAGGACCAGACAAUCAGUUGAAAAUACAUUAGAAAACUCAUGAACCACAUAGACUGACUCAAGUGUCGGAGUGUCAAUGCUAGUAUCAUGAACAUAAACAAGAUAAGCCAAAUACCCCUUCACCACUAACUUCCUCGCCUGAAUGAACGAUAUGAUCCCUCUCAGUACAUGAUAUCAACACCCUUACACACAAGCUGAGGGAUACCAAAAUAGCCAACAUAACAGUCUUAGCAAAACAAUCCAAGCCCGCAUGAUAGGGAGACAAUCCAUCCAUGCCUAGAAUCACGUCGAAAGGCAGGGUGACAUCUCUAAUUCUCCAUUACCCUUCCAUAACUCCACAUUUAUCAACUAUCAACCCUCUCCAAAAUGCUUGUACCUCCAUCCCAAAACGCCAAAGCCAUUUGCCUAACAAAACUUUGUUAAAAAUCGCCAAAUCUUUAAUUCGAGACCACCCUAUUUUUUAGGAGAUGUGACAAAAUUGCAUCGAACCAAGUGUAAUUUCUUUGCUCCAAUUGCGCCAUCCUAAAAAAAAUUUCUAUGCAACUUCUCUAAUGUUUCUAUGAUCGAAAAUAGAGUGAAACAAAGACAUGAAGUAAGUGGGAAUACUUGAUAAAGUGCUCUUAGUAAACACCUCUUUUUGUCCUUUGGACAAGUAUUUUUAUUGCCACCGUGCUAAUCUCUUUUCAACCCCCCGAAGAACCAAAUUCCACACCAAAAAAUCCUUGUUUGAAGCCUCCAAUGGUAAUCUAAGAUGCGUAGUCAGAAAAGCCCCCACUCUUCAAUUCAAAACAUGAGCGAGCACCCCAAUUCAACCACCUCCCCGACGGGAAAAAUCUCAAACUUAGAGGUUGAUGGUAAGGCCUGGCACACCUGGAAUCAAGUAAGCACUUGACCUAAAUGAUCUAGUUAGUUCAUAUCUGCAUCACAACAAACCAAAGUAUCAUCUGCAAACAAUAACCGUGAAACCAACACUGUCCCAACACCUAUAAUCGCUGCAUUAAAGCCCUUAAAUAGCCUCCCAUGAUAGCUCUGUCCAUCAUCCAGCUCAAAGCUUCCAUAGCUAGAAUGAACAAGCUCGGAGAUAAAGGAUCCCCUUGCCUUAGUCCCCUGGAACUCCUAAAAAACCCCAAAUGGUUUGCCAUUCACCAACACUGAAUAUCUCACAAUAGAAAAGCAAAAUCUAAUCCAUUUUCUUUAUCUUCCCCUAAAUUCCGUUUGAAUCAUGAUGAAAUAUAAAAAACUUCAACUCACAUGAUCAUAGGCCUUCUCAAGAUCAAACUUGCACAACACUCCAGGCAAUCCUUGCUUUUUUCUCGAACCAACCACUCCAUUUGCCACUAGAGCUGCAUCCAAAAUUUGUCUACCCUUCACAAAAGUAUUUUUCUAAGUAGAUACUGGAUUUUCCAACACCUUUUUAAGUCUUAUUUAAAGCACCUUAGAGAUGAUAUUAUAAAUGCUUUCCACUAGACUAAUAGGUCUAUAAUCUCUCAUGCACGAAGCACCCUCGUGUGUAGGGAUAAUGACAACAAACGAAGCAUUCAAACCUUUUUCGAAUUCGUUUCUCUCCCGAAACUCUACAAUAGUAUCCAUCACAUAAGCUUUGAUCGUAUUCUAACAGUGUUGGAAGAAAGCUGAAGAGGAACCAUCUGGCCUUGGAGCUUUGUCAGCCGCACAUCUCUCCACCACCCGCUUCAUCUUUUCCUUUUCGAUUGCCCUCUUUUGCCACUCACACUCCUCCUUACCAAUAUGAGUAAAACGUAACCCUUAGCUUAGGCCUUCAGUAUGUUCUGAGCUGUACAAACUAGCAUACAACAUGUACAAAUAUCAUACCACAGAUUUAAUAGUCGUACAUAUUCAAGUAGAAACAACAUAUCCCAUAUAUUAUCCCGGUAUCCAUGUAUAUGCACAUCACCUUACAAAUGUAGUACCCUAUUGUAAAGAUAUGGAUCUUAGGCGUAAUUCAACCUCAAAAGCUAGCUCAUGAGAAGAAGAUUGUCCAAGUCCAUAUAGGGAGACCAAUUACCCAUCCCUUUCUUAUGUGGAACUCUUAACACUCCUCCGUAGGCCCGAGCCUCGUUAACUAAAGCGUGGACAAUAUAAUAUUGGAGCCCAACAUCGGUGAACAAAGAACUGGGAUGAGUUUGGCUCUGAUACCAUGUAAAGAAAUAGAUCUUGGGCCUAACUUAACCCAAAAACUAAGCUUAUAAUGGGAAGAUUGCCCAAGUUCAUAUAAGGAAAUCAAUUGCCCAUCAAAAAACCCUAUUCUAAUGUGGGACUCUUAACACCAUCAAACCAAUUCUAGCUUGGGAAGUAUUUUCCAUUGAGGUCAAAGUCUUAAGUUACCUCGGCUCGACUUAAGCAUAACUAGCUUUAUCGUGUACUGAAUCCCUUAAACAACUCCAAUCUAUUCAAAAAAAAUUCUCAACCGAUACAGAGUUGGGAAGACUAUUGAAUCAUGUAAUCUUAAAUUAAAGAUGUGAUAAUAUGCCAAAAUGCCCUUUGAAGAUGUUGAAAUUAAAGAGUUACUAAAUAUCAAACAUGACAUUCUUCUUCUAACAAACCAAAAGACGUCAGACACAUAAGUUAUAACAGAAUGAGUGCUACCUUCUAAUUUCAAAGUAGUAAUAAUGCUGUGUAUGAAAUUAAAGGUUUCCCAGAAAACUUGAUUUUUCAACAACUUGAAUCUAUUUUUCAAUCGUGUUCUUUUUGUAUAUCGUAAGUAGAAAAUAAGGGGAUUAAACAAAAUAAAGAACCGAGGAAACUCAAACUUCAUAAGAACAUAGAAAUCGAGAAACUGCUCCAAAUUUUCAGGGGUUCUGUAAGAUUUUGUUGGGACAUUGGUGGUAGGGUGGUGUAGAGUGGCUAAGUAUGCGUGAAGAGGUUUUUUUUGAUGGAAAUCUGAAGACGCUUCACGCGCUGGCGCGUAAGAUGGCAGUGAGAGUGUAGGGGCAUAUGAACCUCAUAUAUGCCUGCUGGUGGUGUGUUUCUGCUGGUAGGGUCGUUGGAGGAUGGAUGAGCUAAUUUUGUUAAAAUUGACCCUUAGGUCUUAGCCGAAAACUGAGAAUUGAUAUCCCAAACUCGUUAUGCCUCUUUCCUUCUUUCUAUCUUUCUCUCUCUAUCUUUCUCUCUUUCUCUUUCUCUCUCUCUGGGUGGUUGAGCAAAAAAAAUUAGAGGAAAAGAAAGAAGAAUUGUCAAAGUAGAAACUCAAAUCCUUAUCUUGUAAAGAAAUAAAAUAUUUAAGAAUGAAUUGCUUAAUUAUUCCCUCAAGCAUAUUGGGGUUUAUAUAGUUCUUAAAAGUAAACUAAAGCGGAAAGGGGAGCCAUACCUAGUAAUUUGUCUUUCUAUUUGCUUAUGUAUCAUGAUUCUAAACCUUUCCUAUAUAUACAAAGAAAGGGAUCUUGCCAUGUUAAUGAUUUCCUAUUUCUCAACAAUCUCUCUGGGUAUCUCGUAAGCAGAAAAUAAGGGGACUAAACAAAAUAAAGAAUUGAGGAAACUCAAACUUCAUAAGAACAUAGAAAUCGAGAAACUGCUCGAAAUUUUCAAGGGAUCAGUAAGAUUUUGUUAGGACAUUGGUGGUAGGGUGGCGUAAAGUGGCUAAGUGUGCUUGAAGAGGUGUUAUUUGAUCGAAAUCUGAAGAAGCUUCACGCAUUGGCUUGUAAGAUGGCAGCAAGAGUGUAGGGGCAUGUGAACCUCACAUACGCCUGCUGGUGGUGCGUUUCUGAUGGUAGGAUCGUUGGAGGAUGGGUGAGCUAAUUUUGUUGAAAUUGACCUUUAGGUCUUAGCCAAAAACUGAGAAUUGAUAGCCCAACCUCGUUCUGCCUCUUUCCUUCUCUCUCUCUGGGUGGUUGAGCAAAAAAAGAAUUAGAGGAGAAGAAAAAAGAAUUGUCAAAGUAGGAGCUCAAAUCCUUGUCUCUCUUUCUCUCUCAAAAAGAAUUAGAGGAGAAGGAAGAAGAAUUGUCAAAGUAGGAACUCAAAUCUUUAUCUCUCGCUCUCUNNNNNNNNNNNNNNNNNNNNNNNNNNNNNNNNNNNNNNNNNNNNNNNNNNNNNNNNNNNNNNNNNNNNNNNNNNNNNNNNNNNNNNNNNNNNNNNNNNNNNNNNNNNNNNNNNNNUUUCCCUCUCCUUCUCCGUCCCCUUCCCCCCCUCUCUCUCUGGGUGGUUGGGCAAAAAAAGAAUUAGAGAAGAAAGAAGAAUUGUCAAAGUAGGAACUUGAGUCAUUGGCUUUGAUAUCAUGCAAAGAAAUAAGAGAUUUAUAUCAUGCAAAGAAAUAAGAGCUUUAAGAAUAAAUUGCUUGAUUAUUCCCUCAAGCAUAUUGGGGUUUAUAUAGUUCUUAAAAGUAAACUAAAACGGAAAGGGGAGCCAUACCUAGUAAUUCCUCUUUCUUAUCAUGAUUCUAAACCUUUCCUAUAUAUACAAGGAAAGAGCUCUUGCCAUAUUAAUGAUUUCCUAUUUCUCAACAAUCUCUCUGGGUCGCUAAGAACCUCCUUCUGGUCUGUUGAGCGAAUGAUCCUUUUGCUAGACAUUAGAAAUCUGAUAAAUGAUUACAAAGUAGGAUAUUGAUGUUGUUGACCUUUGUAGGUUUGGGUAACUGAGUCUUUAACUUUUUCAAGUUUGGAAUUUUGAAUCUGAUGUGUCCAAAGACAUUACUAUGAUGUGAUCUACAAAACAUACGACACUUGGCAUGUCAUGAAAUACAUGCUUAUUAGUUUCGACUUAGUUACGUUUUUUCUUUUCCUAGGCUGUCCUAGUUUAUCCCAAGUCUGCUGAUAUUUUGGUUUUUUAGUUUCCACUGUAAUAUUGAAUAACAAAGAAGUGGAAAGUUUAGUUUUGGGCGAUUCCAUGCGAAUCAAAUGUCAUCCAGCUUCACACAAAUUGCUGGAUAUGUUUUCUCACAAAAGGAGCGUCCUGAUCAAAUUUUGAACAUUUUUUGCUCAAGAACAAUGAUAUUACAUCAUGUUAGCAAUGUUUCUCUCUAUUUUUCUCAUCUUUUGUAUCCUUUGUUCACAUUUUGAGAUUUUUGUUUAAGAUGCAUUUUAUGGACACUACGGUCUUCUAUUGCAGCAUCAACACCGUGAUGGUCGUCUGGAGGAAGUGGUACUACGCCAUCUUGGUUCUGAAGAUGGAAGCACUGUAAUCGCUAAAAAUAUCAGGUUAUAUAUCCUUUAACUUUAUUUUUUCAUUACAUGGUCUUAUUCUUUGCUUUGGUGUACGAUCAUCUUUUGAUUUGCUCUUCCAUAUUACUGGUUUCCUCAGGCUCUCGGACUUCCUUAGGAAUUUGGAAAUUAGGUGAACAAUCUCUCUUAGUAAUUUCAAGGUAUGUUCAAAUCAUCCUGUUUGCUUUUUCUCUAUUGUCAUGUUGGCAUUUUUGCCCGACUUACGUUCUAAUUAGACUAAAUGGUCGAUUACAACUAAUAAUCUGAUGCGAGUCCAUGUCGAAUCCCACAAGGAGCAUGUGUAGGUGUGAGUAUGCGUAGUAACAAAUAUCUUCAAUCGUAGUCAAAUUCUAAUAUUUAUAUGGGUUUACAAUUGAAAUAAAACUAAGUUUGCAAUUUAAUUUAAAUCAAACAAGUAAGGAACAAGAGUUCAAAUCAAGUGAUAAAAGAUACUAUGGUUGUAGCCCCUAGUUUAUUUGCUUUGGUUAGCGGAAAUUCUUUAUAUUAUCUAAUUGUUGGUUUUUGACUAUGGUUCAAUUUUGAUUUACCCAUCUUUGAAUAAAUAAUGGGUCUAUACGCAAUAAGUUCUUCCCAAAGAUUUCAAGAAGAAGAAGAAGCUUCUUUAUAUUUCUUUAUGUAUUUACACCCAUGAAAAUGUUUUUUUUUGAUCUGGUAAAAUAUUUCAUUAAUAAUUAGUCCAACUUGGCCGUAUACGAGAGGUAUACCAAAAGAAAAGGAGAAACCUACAAAAUAUGGUUCUCUCCAAAAGACACCCAAUCCUCUAUAUAAACAGAACUAUGGGUCCACCAAAAGAAAAUAAGGGGCAAGAGACUACUACUCAAUUGAGCAAAGUUUAUCUCCACCCCUUCGAAAGCUCUCCUAUUUCUCUUCUUCCAAAUGCCCCAUAUCAAAGCAAGAGGAGUAACAUUCCAGCCUUGUGUCUUCUUCUCCUAGCUCCACUUUUAUAGCUAAAAAUCAACUCCAUGGAUCUUGACAUUACCCAAGAACACCAAGCCAACUAAAGAUAAUCCCCCAUAACCUCGUAGCUAAUUUGCAGUGUAACAAAAUGUGGUCCACGUUCUCACCUGCCUCCUUACAAGGGAACACCAAGUCAUGCAUACAACCUUUCAUUUUCGAAGAUUCUCUAUUAUCAAAAUCAAUCCUCCAGCUAACCAAACAACGAAGCACACCUUCCUUGGCACUUGAGGAAUCCGGACCAAGGCAUGUGGAAAACUGACAUCUGCCCUAACCAGAAGCUUUUUAAUUGAAAACAAAUUGUUAUUCCCCAACUCUCAAUUCAAAGCUCCGGGUUUGUCAAUCGGCUCACAUUGCUUUUGAAGUAAAUAUAGCACUCCUUGAAGCUCGAUCACCUCCUAAUCCUGAAAAUUCCUCCUAAGCCUCAAAUCCCAAAAAGUCUUAUCCUCUUAUGUCCCUAACUUGCUGAAUGAAUGAUUCCCUUUGGCAAGAGACCCUAUACAACAUUGCGAAUUCAUUCUUAAGCACCAAACUUCCACACUAUUUUUUGCACCCCAAAACUAACUCUACUCCCAUCACAACCUUAAAAGUAAUGUUUUUUUCAAAGCAUCCCACCUUUUUAUUAUAUUCCUCUAUUCACCACACCCAAAAGGCUUAGUGAUCACUUUUGUUCUCCACUCCCCUUCCAUUUUGCCAUAUUUACCAUAACUAGCCCUCUCCAUAAAGCUUCUCUCUUCACCCCAAAUCUCCACAAUCGUUUACCCAAAAGAGCUUUGUUAAUAACAUUCAAGUCCUUGACCCAAGCCCUCCCACGUUUAGGAGAUGUCAUGGUCUCCUUUUGAACUAAGUGAAACUUCUUUGUCUUAUCCACUGCAUCCCUCCAAUGGGAGGUGCAUUGAUCAAGGACAUGCAAUACGAAGGUAUACUUGAUAAAAUGCCUUUAAUAAGCACUUUCUUGCCUUUCUUGGAAAAAUGUCUUUUCUGUAAUUUGCUAACGUCUCUUCUUUACCCUCAGAAUGACCGAACGCCAAGAUCUUUGUUAGAUGUAGAGGUAUCCAAGGUAGUAGGGAGGAUCCUUACCCUGCACAACUUGGGCAAACAUGGCAAUGUUAUCCGUUGGACCAAUAGGUACUAUUUCACAUUUUCUAAGGUUAAUCUUAAGCCUUGACACCAUCGGGAACCAAGUCAAGACUUUCCCAAGGAACUCCAAUGGGAUCCUAUCUGCUUCAGAGUACACCAAAGUAUCAUUUGCACAUAAGAGAUGAGUAAUCACUAUGAUACACACUAACCAUAACAUUGAACCCUUGAUAUAUCCUCCUAAGAUGUAUUUAUGAAAUGAGUCCUAAGACUAAAUAAGGGAAGACUAUUACACAAUCAAUUCCUAAUCAAUAACAUUUAAUAUAACAUCAUUCUACUCUUAUAAUUCAACUGUCAGCAUCAAUCAACAUCCCCCCCUCAAGUUAUUAGUGCAAAGAUGUCGCACAUGCCGAAUUUGCAAACAAUGUAUGAAAAGUGUUCGUUUGUUGAGGCCUUUGGUAAACAUAUUAGCCAAUUGUUUCUCUGAUGACACAUGGAACAAACUCAAUACACCACUUAUAAUUGUUUUUUGAUGAAGUAUUGAUCAAUUUCAACAUGCUUUCUUCGAUCAUGUUGGACUGAAUUUUGAGCUCUACUGAUUGCAGCCUUGUUGAAUUUUGAGCUCUAGUGAUUGCAGCCUUGUCACAUUACAAGGGAAGUUUCCGCUUUUUAGACCAUCUCAAUUCCUCUAGUAGCUUUUGUAACCACACAUGUUUACAAAUACCCUAGGCCAUAGCUCUAUAUUUUGCCUGUACUACACUUUGCUUCUUGCUUCUCCAGGUGACCAGGUUUCCUCAUACUAGUGUAUAAUAAUCGAUGUAGAUCUUCAGUCUAGCCUAAGUAGUGUUUGUAAAGGCUUCUUUUUGGAGUUGACCAUGUUUGGAGAACAAUAAAUAUUUCCCGGGAACAAACUUCAUAUAUCGCAAACUUUGAAAGACAACUUAAAGAUAAGGAUCUCGGGGAUCAUGCAUGAACUGACUCACUAGGCUAACUGAAUAGGCUAAGCAAUGUCUGGUCUAGUGUGUGAGAGAUACAUGAGUCUUUCAACCAGCCUCUGAUAUCUCUCCUUAUCAACUGACUCUCCAACUCCGCUCUAUAAUUUGUGAUUGCUUUCAAUAGAUGAUUCUGUUGGUUUCUAUUUACUUUGAGAAAUAAGGAUUCCCUCUUUUUGAUCUAGCAACCUCAAUUCCCAAGAAAAAUUGAAGUGUUUCAAGAUCCUUGAUCUCAAAUUCUUAUGCCAGCAACUUCUUCAAUCAGGUCAUCUCUUGUUUUUACUAUGUCAUCAACAUAAAUUAUGAAAAAAUGAGCUUACCCUUUUGAUGUCACCGGUCAAGAAAUCUCAAGGUCAUUUAUAGUUUUUACUAUGUCAUCAACAUAAAGGCGCUCGUGAUGCACAAAAGGAAGAGAAUUUCCUUUGGCAUUUGGAGAAUUAUUUCAAGUGCAACAAAGUGAAGAGUGAUAAGAACAAGAUCAACACUGUUGUUCUGUACCUCUUGGAGGUGGACAUGCUAUGGUGGAAACAAAAUGAGUUUGAGAUGGAUAAGGGAUUUUUCACCAUCAACACAUUGGAGCAAUUUUGAGCUGAGUUCAAGAGGGCUUUCUGUAAUACCCCGUAGGUUUUCUUGCCUUGUUAAAGCUCAAGAAUGAACCUAUAUGACCUUUAAAAUGAGUAGAAAAUGUUUUGGGAUGAGUUUGGAAACUUUGGGGCAGUUUAGGAUGUGAAAUAGGACCAUGCGCCACACGUUAAGGGGGUCGUGCUUUGGCUUUGCAUCGCACGUACCAUUGUAGGGGUCUACUGCCUUACUUGGGCCUUGCGUAGCAAGGGGUGCCACCACGCGAUGGGUGUGCAAAACUCCCCUGUUUUGUCGACGGGACUUUAUUUUUGAACGCUGUUUUAAGGGUAUUUUGGUCCUUACACUAUGGAAAACCGUUGCCCACCAUACUAAAUGACCCCAAACCCCUACAUGCGAUUUUCGUCCCAAAAACCAUAUCCCAUCCUUCCUCAAAACACAAAGAGAGAAUUCAACUAGGGUUCAAGGUUCAAGGCUCAAGGCUUAAAUCCCAAGCGUUCUUGAAAACACAUUCUGCCAAGAGGUAUGUAGAACGACCUUACUUAUAUUGGGUUUAGAAACAUGUUUUCCUAACCUUUUAAUUUUGUAUAGAGUAUGGAUUUCAAACUUAUUUUCAAGAGCAUAUCCUUAAAACUCCAUUUAUGCCAAGAAUCAUGAAUUUAGCUAAUGUCACAGGUUAUUUUAUAAUUGACGAAAAGGUUGAGUUUUGAAUUUUUGUAUGUUAAAUUGUUCAUUGCGUACGUAUAUGGAUUUGGGGAGUAUUACUUGUUUAUAAAAUGGCUUUUGUUUUCCAAUGUAAAUGUGAGUGAGAUGAUUACACUUUAAAGUUACAGAGAAUAUCUUGAAUAAUAGAUGUUUGGCCUAAACCCUUACACCAAUUUUGAAAGAGAAUUCUUAUUUGAUUUUUAAAUUAUCUUUCGGUCAAUAAUGUAUAUUUAAGGGGAUGUGCCUUGGUGUAUGUUAUUUGCUGAUGAUUUUGUUCUGAUUGACGAGACUCGGGAAAGAGUUAAUGAUAAGUUGGAGGUUUGGAAUAGACCCUUGAGUCUAAAUGGUUUAGGUUGAACAGGACCAAGAGGGAAUGCUUGGAAUAUAAGUUUAGUCAUUUGUCGCAUGAGGCUGACGUGGUAGUUAAGAUGGAUUCUCAGGUCAUUCAGAAGAGGGAGAGUUACAAGUAUCUUGGGUCUACGAUUCAGGAGAGUGAUGAGAUUGAUAAGGAUGUCACGCACCGUAUUGGUGCAGGGUGGUUGAAGUGGAGGCUCGCUUCGGGAUUCUUGUGUGAUAAGAAGGUGCCUCCUAAGCUUAAAGGUAAGUUCUACAGAGUGGCAGUCCGACUGGCUAUGUUGUAUGGAGUGGAGUGUUGGUUAAUUAAGAACUCUCAGAUGCAAAAGUUGAAGGUGGCGGAGAUGAGGAUAUUGCUAUGGAUGUAUGGACAUAUCAGGAAAGAUAGGGUUAAAAAUGAGAUUCUUCGGGAGAAAGUGGGAGUGGCUUCGGUGGAGGACAAGAUGCGGGAAGUGAGGGUGUGAUGGUUCGGGCAUGUGAUGAGGUGCACAAAUGCUCCAGUACGAAGGUGUGGGAGGUAGGUUAUGGAUGAUUUUAGGCGGGGUAGAGGUAGGCCGAAGAAGUAUUGGAGAGAGGUGAUUAAUCAUGAUAUGGAGCAAUUACAGCUUACGGACAUGACCCUUGAUAGGAAGGUGUGGAGGACUCGGAUUAGGGUAGAAGGUUAGUGGGUAGGAGUUCAGUCAUUAUAGUAGGGAAGAAUGCUUUGUUAUGAUUUUAGAUAAAUAGUUUACAUCAGUACCUUGUGGGUGUUAUUUUCUUUAGUAUCUAGCAGUGUGUUAUCCCAUAUUGUUGUGUGCUUGUGUUUUUGUUUGUUAGACUGUUAUAUGUGCUGAGCCGGGGGUCUAUUGAAAACAACUUCUCUACUUCAUCUGAGGUAAUGGUAUGGACUGCACCCUCCCCAGAACCCACUUUGUGGGAAUAUACCGGGUAUGUUGUUGUUAUUGUUGGUCAAUGAUGUAUAUUUGAAAAGGGCUAAAGAAAAGAAAAGAGAGGGUUUAUAUGACAUGCAAGUCUUGGUAUGACGAUACCAAAUAAGAGAAUGUCCUUAAGAGUAAGAAAUGAUUUUUGAGAAUGAAUGUUGUUUCAAAGAGACUAAAAUAUAGGCUUAAAGAGAGUUGGUUAACCGAGAAGGCAUGAGUUCGAAAGGCUCGUUGCUCAAAAUUAUGUUUUGUUGACGUAGGAUUGUUUGUCCUGAAAUAUGGGUAAUCAUGGUAUACUUGCCUCGUGCUUUGGUAUCCUAUAAAAGAGAGACUUCAUUCCAUUUGGCAAACUUGGGGGCUUGGCCGACAAGUUAAAGUCGGACCCACAUAGCCCGUGGUGUUUAUAGAGAUGUCGGGUAUACCAUCUAGCUCAGGACUAAAGAAAAAGAGUUGAUUCUAUGUUUUAAGUUGUUAUUUAAAGUCUUUAUUUGUAUCCCUGUGAUUCGACUUCUAUCCUCAUGAUUAUUUGUAUAAAUUAUAUCUUAUCUUUGGUUGAUCUACAUGUCGAUACAUUUCACGUAUUGACCGUCCUUGGACGGCUACAUAGUUUCAUGAUGUAGGUUCGAAAGCUCUCUCUCGUGGGUCGGUGCAACAUUAGGAUCAUUAGGACACAGAGUUGGUGAGCCCUCCAUCUUUCGGAAGGCAGUUUAUUUUAGAGACUGUGUACUUUUCAGUUGAAGGUAUCACUGGGGCCUUGUCCCGGCUUAGACAGUUUUUCUUAUGUUAGAGGCUUCGUAGACUUGUUUAAUUGGACUAUUUUAUGUCAUAUGUUCAGAGUUUUGAAUUGCCGGUUGUGUUUAAAUUGAACAUCUUUUGGGUCUAUUUUUUCGCAAAUUUGAGAGUAAUUAUGCUUACGAUGAAAUGCUAAUGGGUCUUCUCGUGCCUCUAUUGGUCCGGGAUGCCCGUCAAGGCCAGGGCAUGGGCUUAGGCCGUGACACUUUCUUUCACAACAAUGUCCUCUAUGAGGCGAAGCACAAGUUUCGGUCUUUUAAUCAGACGUAGUAUAUGGGCAUAUGUGAAAGAAUUUACCACUCUCAUGCUUCAGAUUCCCAACCUCACAGAUGAAGACAUGUUCCACUUCAUGGAUGGGCUACAAAAUUAGGCUAGGAUGGAGUUGGAAUGCCGNNNNNNNNNNNNNNNNNNNNNNNNNNNNNNNNNNNNNNNNNNNNNNNNNNNNNNNNNNNNNNNNNNNNNNNNNNNNNNNNNNNNNNNACAAGUUGGUACUAUUGGUGAAGCCAUUUUACAGGUCGAAGCUUUGACAGACUUUAGGCAUGAUAAGCAUGAAAAAGACAAUGAGUAGUCAUGCCAUAGGUGGGGGGAGAUCAUGGCAAAAGCAAGGAGCAGCAAGCACAUCUCCAUCCCCAAAAUCAUAACACAAAAAAAUCUGAGAGAAAGAAGUUUGGGCACCAAAAUUAUGCAGAACGAAAGGCGGAGACUAUAAAGGAAAAUGGUUGUUAUAUAUGCGGUGGGCCACAUGGCUAUGAAGGUGCCCUAAACUAAAGUCCAUUGGCGCCAUAUUACGUGAACGAAAGGAAAACGAUGCACAAGAACAAGGCAAGGUUCAAGCACUACACUAUUGGGCAUGAUCGAGUUAUGCGGAGCUAUCGCAAAACAAUCAGAGAAGCCACACCAUCAAUGGACGACCCGCUUGCACUAUGGUCGACUCAGGUGCGGAAGUGAACAUCAUAGCCAGGGAAACAAAAACAAAGUUGGGCUUGACUUUUUGUCUAAGCUAUAGUCAUCUCAAGACAGUCAAUGUACCAGUAACGCCAAUAACGCCCGUAUCGCCCGUAUGUGGAAUUGCUAAUGGAGUGAGCAUCAUGUUGGGCUAGUGGCAAGGUAAAAACCAAUUUCACUGUCGCUCCUGCAGACAUCUUUGACAUAAUUCUUGGGCUAGAGUUUUUCCAAAAUUACCAUAUUAUGAUCAAUCCCUACCUCUAACAACUCUUAGUGAUGGAGCAAGAAGAAUCUUGUAUGGUGCCAUGUUUAAAGUGUCAAAAAUGGAAGGACAAACACAAGUACCGGCCAUGCAUCUUGUGAAAGGCCUUAAGAAGGGGGAGUCGACGUUCACUAAAAAGAAGAAUCGCCGGAGGAUGCCACAUGGGAACAAUAUAACGACUUGUGGCAAUACAAAGAUAAAAGACAAAAGUUCAUACAGUAGCAAUGCACCGCGGUCGUCGCUACAUUAGGUGGGGGAGAAUCUGAUGACCCACCACGUCGUCAUACCACGUAAGCGUCACAUGGCUAAAAGUUGUCCAUGUAGAGGCCAUACAUAAGAGGAAGACUUUCCCUUAGUGGAAUAUUCUAGAGAAUUAGGGAGAUUUCCCCUGGAAAAUCCUAGAAUCUCUUGGAUUAACAUGGAAAGUCCUUAGAUCUUUCUAGGUAUGUAGAGAAUUCUAGCGAAGGGACUUAUUAGCAAAUAUGUAGGGACUUUUUAAUUUACACAUUAGGCCCUUAUUGAGCAGUAUAGAUAGAGGGACACUCAUUUGUAAUAGGAUCAAGCAAAACUUUACCAAUUCUUGAGCAAUAUUCAAGGUUCCUUUAGAAGUUCUCUCGUCUCUUUCUUCAAUUUAACAUUUCCUUAGUGAUCUAGCUUUAAAAAGGUUUACUUGAGCUUGCAAGAGCGUGAAAGAUUCGUGAGCAAGUUGUCAAGUGCUGCAGGAGGUACUUGGUUGAAGUCCGUGACAUGAGGGUCUAUCAGAAACAACCUUUAUUCCACCCAAGGUAGAGGUAAAGUUUGCGCAUACUCUACCCCCCACAACCAAACCCAGCUUGUGGGAUUACACUGGUAUGUUGUCGUUGUGGUGCACCUAUGGUGAACAGAAGAAUAGGUGCACCAUAAAACCCCUAGUUGAACAGAAUAACCUCAUAGAAAGAUUUAACAAAUAGCCUUAGUGAAAUGAGUGAAGGUCACAUGGAAAUAACAAAAAAAUGCUUUCCUCCCAAAAAGCUCUUUGGACCCCCGCCCCUCCAUCCAUCUUCAACCACACCCCCCGCCCGUCUACUUUGUCUUUCUUCCUCUUCGUCAUUUCCAUCUUUUCCCCUUUUUUUUUAAUUUUUAUGUACAAAACCCAAAGCUUUACCAUCUUUCAUUUUUCUUUCAAUAUUUAUUUCACAUCACAGAAUACUCAUUAAGCCUUCCCGUCACCCUUCAUCACCCUACACCUAUCUUCCAUUUCCAUUUGGUAAAAUGAUUAGCUCAUUUGCUAUUUUAGUAUCCUACUGGUUUUAAGUUAAAUCUUUUGAAAUAUUUAAAAGAUUAUAUGGUUCCUUAUUUCUUUCUUUUUCCCUUUACAUCAUCGUCCAAUUAUAGGUCGCCACCAUUUAUACAGCUUCGUUCUUAGUUCAUGUAGAUGGGCUCUACUUUUUAUUCAUUCGUGGCGAUGGAGAGCCUAUAAGUUCUCAUUGUAUUUAAUUAGAUUUUUCUGAUGUUAAAAUAUAUAACGGAGGGGGAAGAGGAGAGAGACAUGUUUUUCUUUGGGUCCUAUUAGGAGUCAAAAGAUGAUAAGAAAAUGCCUACAACAACAACAAACCCAGUAUAUUCCCACCUAGUGGGGUCUGGGGAGGAUAGAAUGUACGCAGUCCAUACCACUACCUCUAAAGAAGUAGAGAGGCUGUUUUCGAUAGACCCCCGGCUCAAGACACAGGACAACAACAACAACAACAAACCCAGUGUAUUCCCACCUAGUGGGGUCUGGGGGGGGGUAAGAUGUACGCAGUCCAUACCUCUACCUCUGAAGAAGUAGAAAAUCUGUUUCCGAUAGACCCCCGGCUCAAGGCACGAGAUACCACACAAAAACAUAGUAAAGCACAGCACAAGAUUACAUAACAUAAAUACGGCACCCAUAGGUAAUAUAAAACAGAGGAAAGCACACAGCUUCGUAAUAAAACAUGGAACACGGACUCAUAACAGGAAUAAAACCCCCACCAAGUAAUUUCCUACAUUAGAGAACCCAAACGGCCCUCGUCNNNNNNNNNNNNNNNNNNNNNNNNNNNNNNNNNNNNNNNNNNNNNNNNNNNNNNNNNNNNNNNNNNNNNNNNNNNNNNNNNNNNNNNNNNNNNNNNNNNNNNNNNNNNNNNNNNNNNNNNNNNNNNNNNNNNNNNNNNNNNNNNNNNNNNNNNNNNNNNNNNNNNNNNNNNNNNNNNNNNNNNNNNNNNNNNNNNNNNNNNNNNNNNNNNNNNNNNNNNNNNNNNNNNNNNNNNNNNNNNNNNNNNNNNNNNNNNNNNNNNNNNNNNNNNNNNNNNNNNNNNNNNNNNNNNNNNNNNNNNNNNNNNNNNNNNNNNNNNNNNNNNNNNNNNNNNNNNNNNNNNNNNNNNNNNNNNNNNNNNNNNNNNNNNNNNNNNNNNNNNNNNNNNNNNNNNNNNNNNNNNNNNNNNNNNNNNNNNNNNNNNNNNNNNNNNNNNNNNNNNNNNNNNNNNNNNNNNNNNNNNNNNNNNNNNNNNNNNNNNNNNNNNNNNNNNNNNNNNNNNNNNNNNNNNNNNNNNNNNNNNNNNNNNNNNNNNNNNNNNNNNNNNNNNNNNNNNNNNNNNNNNNNNNNNNNNNNNNNNNNNNNNNNNNNNNNNNNNNNNNNNNNNNNNNNNNNNNNNNNNNNNNNNNNNNNNNNNNNNNNNNNNNNNNNNNNNNNNNNNNNNNNNNNNNNNNNNNNNNNNNNNNNNNNNNNNNNNNNNNNNNNNNNNNNNNNNNNNNNNNNNNNNNNNNNNNNNNNNNNNNNNNNNNNNNNNNNNNNNNNNNNNNNNNNNNNNNNNNNNNNNNNNNNNNNNNNNNNNNNNNNNNNNNNNNNNNNNNNNNNNNNNNNNNNNNNNNNNNNNNNNNNNNNNNNNNNNNNNNNNNNNNNNNNNNNNNNNNNNNNNNNNNNNNNNNNNNNNNNNNNNNNNNNNNNNNNNNNNNNNNNNNNNNNNNNNNNNNNNNNNNNNNNNNNNNNNNNNNNNNNNNNNNNNNNNNNNNNNNNNNNNNNNNNNNNNNNNNNNNNNNNNNNNNNNNNNNNNNNNNNNNNNNNNNNNNNNNNNNNNNNNNNNNNNNNNNNNNNNNNNNNNNNNNNNNNNNNNNNNNNNNNNNNNNNNNNNNNNNNNNNNNNNNNNNNNNNNNNNNNNNNNNNNNNNNNNNNNNNNNNNNNNNNNNNNNNNNNNNNNNNNNNNNNNNNNNNNNNNNNNNNNNNNNNNNNNNNNNNNNNNNNNNNNNNNNNNNNNNNNNNNNNNNNNNNNNNNNNNNNNNNNNNNNNNNNNNNNNNNNNNNNNNNNNNNNNNNNNNNNNNNNNNNNNNNNNNNNNNNNNNNNNNNNNNNNNNNNNNNNNNNNNNNNNNNNNNNNNNNNNNNNNNNNNNNNNNNNNNNNNNNNNNNNNNNNNNNNNNNNNNNNNNNNNNNNNNNNNNNNNNNNNNNNNNNNNNNNNNNNNNNNNNNNNNNNNNNNNNNNNNNNNNNNNNNNNNNNNNNNNNNNNNNNNNNNNNNNNNNNNNNNNNNNNNNNNNNNNNNNNNNNNNNNNNNNNNNNNNNNNNNNNNNNNNNNNNNNNNNNNNNNNNNNNNNNNNNNNNNNNNNNNNNNNNNNNNNNNNNNNNNNNNNNNNNNNNNNNNNNNNNNNNNNNNNNNNNNNNNNNNNNNNNNNNNNNNNNNNNNNNNNNNNNNNNNNNNNNNNNNNNNNNNNNNNNNNNNNNNNNNNNNNNNNNNNNNNNNNNNNNNNNNNNNNNNNNNNNNNNNNNNNNNNNNNNNNNNNNNNNNNNNNNNNNNNNNNNNNNNNNNNNNNNNNNNNNNNNNNNNNNNNNNNNNNNNNNNNNNNNNNNNNNNNNNNNNNNNNNNNNNNNNNNNNNNNNNNNNNNNNNNNNNNNNNNNNNNNNNNNNNNNNNNNNNNNNNNNNNNNNNCCCAACACCUCACUUGCAUUCUCCCUGAUGCACCUAGCCGCCCUAUCCCACAUACUAUCCACAUCUCCCUACACUUCCAUACCCCCAUUCCCGCCACUUUCUCCCCUAUCUCCCACGCAUUCACUGGCGUCAGGCCGCCCCACUUAAUUCUAGGUCUACACUCCUUACUCCUCCUCUUUCUAUUCUUCUUUAUACCCAAAUCCAUAACCAAGAGCCUAUGCUGGGUCGAAAGAUUCUCACUCGGGAUGACCUUACAGUCCUUACACAACGCCCUAUCCCCUUUCCUAAGCAACAAAAAGUCAAUCUGGGUCCUGGCUAUCGCGCUUCGAAAGGUGAUCAGGUGCUCGUCUUCUUCAGGAAGCCCGAGUUCACCACCACAGCCCAAAGGACCUUGCAAACUCCAAUAGGGUAGCCCCCUCUUCAUUUCUCUCCCCAAAACCAAAACCACCAUGCACAUCCCCAAUGCCUCUCGGUAGCGCCCCGAUGUGCCCGUUGAAAUCUCCUGCUACAACAAUCUUCUCCGAGCUAGGCACGCCUCUCACCACCUCCUCCAAAGCCUCCCAAAACUGCAUCUUCUCCUCCCCCUCCGAUCCCACUUGCGGCGCAUAGGUACUACACACGUUCAGGGUAAACCCUCGAAUGACCAACUUAAUAAUCAUCAACCUAUUGUUGAUCCUCUUUACCUCUACUACCUGACCUCUAAGCUCUUCAUCUACUAAGAUGCCAACUCUAUUCCUACGCCUCUCGCUCCCAGAGUACCACAGCUUGUAACCAUCCACAUCCCUAGCCUUAGACCCUACCCACUUGGUCUCUUGAACACACGCAAUGUUGAUCCUCCUCUUCCUAAGAAUCUGCACACGCUCUAUGGACUUACCCUGAAGGGUCCCUAUAUUCCAAGACCCAACCCUCAGCCUACCCAUAAGGCAAUAAUCGAUUCCGCCAAUCAAUAUGUGACACUUAGCACAAUCCAUUUGUGUUUUAGCAGUUCAUAAGUUCUGUUGGCUCAAGACACAGGACAAUAUACAAAAAUAUUCAAAGCAUGAAACAUGAUAAAACUAACAUAGAUACAACAUCCCAAAAGUAAUGUACAAUAAGAAACAAAAAACACCAAAACCCUCCUAACUACGGACCACGAUUCAUUCACUCUCCUUAUCUCUCUAUCCUAGUGUUUUUCCUCUAAACCUUUCUAUCCAGGGUCAUGCCUUUAGUGAGACGUAACUGCUCUAUGUCACGUCUAUUCACUUCUCUCCAGUAUUUCUUCGGUCUACCCCUACCCCGCUUGAAACCAUCUAACGCUAGUCUCUCACACCUACGAACUUAUGAACUGGGGCAUCUGUGCCCCUCCUUAUCACAUGACCAAACCAUCUCAACCUCACUUCCCGCAUUUUUUCCUCCACCGAUACCACUCUCACCUUCUCCCGAAUAAUCUCAUUCCUAACCCUGUCAGCCCUUGUAAGACCACACAUCCAACGCAACAUUCUCAUUUCCGCCACCUUCAACUUUUGGAUGUGGGAAGUCUUAAUUGGCCAAUACUCCGCUUCGUACAACAUAGCCGGUCGGACUGCAACUCUAUAGAAUUUGCCUUUAAGCUUAGAAGGCACCUUAUUAUCGCAUAAAAUCCCCGAUGCGAGCCUCCAUUUCAUCCAACCUGCCCCAAUACGGUGCGAGACAUCCUCAUCUAUCUCUCUAUUUCCCUGGAUCGUAGACCCAAGAUACUGAAAACUAUCCCUCUUGCAAACUGCCUGAGAGUCUAACUUCACCACCACCUCCUCUUCUUGCCUCGAGUCACUAAACUUGCACUCCAAUUACUCUGUCUUGGUCCUACUCGAUCUGAAACCUUUAGACUCCAGAGUUUGUCUCCAAACCUCCAACUUAUCAUUAACACCUUGCUGCGACUCAUCAAUCAAAACUACAUCAUCCGCAAAAAGCAUACACCAAGGCACCUCGCCUUGUAAACUCCGCGUCAGCACAUCCAUCACCAUAGCAAAUAAGAACGGACUAAGAGCUGAUCCCUGAUGCAACCCUGUCAAGACCGGUAAGUGCUCAAAAUCUCCUUCCACCGUCCUUACUCAAGUCUUUGCCCCCUCAUACAUAUCCUUAAUCGCUCUAAUGUACGCCACAGGAACCCCCCUCGCCUCCAAGCAUCUCCAAAGAACCUCCCUAGGGACCUUGUCAUACGACUUUUCCAAGUCAAUAAACACCAUGUGAAGAUCUCUCUUCCUCUCUUACUGCUCUACCAGUCUCCGCACAAGGUGAAUUGCCUCAGUCGUCGAGCGACCAGGCAUAAAUCCAAAUUGAUUUUCCUAAAUAGACACAAUAUUUCUCAACCUUCGCUCCACCACCCUCUCCCAAAUCUUCAUCGUGUGACUCAACAACUUAAUACCCCAGUAGUUGUUGCAACUCUGAAUGUCACCCUUAUUCUUAUAUAGAGGGAUCAUCGUGCUCCAUCUCCACGCCUCAGGCAUCUUCGCGGAAUUGAAAAUGUUGUUAAACAGGUUGGUCAGCCACCUUAACCCAGCCACGCUAGAAAACUUCCAAAAAUCCACCGGAAUCUUGUCGGGCCCCUUCGCCCUGCCCCUUCGCAUCUUGCGAAUAGCCUCGCUGACCUCCUAUACUUUAAAAUGCUGACAAUAGUCGAAAUCGCGACACUCCCCGGUAUGCUCCAACUCCCCUAGCACAACACCUCUGUCCCCCUCGUCAUUCAAGAGCUUAUGAAAAUACGACUGCCAUCUUUUCUUAAUGAGGGCGUCCUCCACCAAUACUUUGCCAUCUUCCCCCUUAAUGCACUUUACUUGAUCUAGAUCCCGACCCUUCCGCUCCCUAGUCUUGGAAAUCCUAAACAACCUCUUUUUCCCGCCUUUCUCCUCUAACCCCGUAUACAAACUCUCAAAAGCUAACUUAGCCUCCUUCUAAGCUAACUUAUACUCCUCCAUACUAACCCGUUUCUCCUCUUCAUCCCUACUCUCCAACAACUUAACAUAAGCCGCCUUCUUUGUCUCCACCUUCUUCUUAACAUCUUCAUUCCACCACCAAUCUCCUCGAUACCGGCCCGACCAGCCCCUCGAGACACCCAACACUUCUUUAGCAGAUUUUUUGAUGCAUUCCGCAGCCCUAUCCCAUAUACUAUCCACGUCCCCGCUAUCCUCCCAAACCCCUAUCCCUUCUAACUUCGCCCUUAUCUCCAGGGCACUAGCUGGAGUCAGUCCACCCCACCUAACUCUAGGACGGCCCUCCCCACCCCGUCUCUUCUUGCCCUUCUUGAUACCCAAGUCCAUCACUAGAAGUCUAUGCUGGGUCGCAAGAUUCUCACUCGGGAUAACCUUACAAUCCUUACACAUUGCUCUAUCCCCCUUCCUAAGCAGCAAAAAGUCAACUUGAGUCUUGGCUAGCCUACUACGAAAAGUAACCAGAUGCUCCUCCUUCUUCGGAAAGUUGGAAUUCACUACCACUAACCCAAAGGUCCUCGCAAAAUCUAAAAGAGCAGCUCCCUCAACAUUCCUAUCCCCGAACUCGAAACCUCCAUGCACAUCAUCAUAACCCAUCGGCAGAGACCCGAUGUGCCCAUUAAAACCCCCUCCUAUGAAAAUCAUUUCAAAACUAGGCACGCCUCUUACCACUUCGUCCAAAACCUCCCAAAAUUUCUUCUCCCCCUCGUCCAGGCCAUCCUGUGGCGCGUACGCACUACAGAUGUUCACAGAAGACCCCCCAACAAUUGACUUGAUAAACAUCACCCUAUCACUAACCCUUUUAACCUCCACUACCUGCCCCCUAAGCUCUUCGUCCACUAAGAUACCUACGUCAUUCCUACGCCUCUCACUACCCGAGUACCACAACUUGUACCCAUCAACAUUCCUAGCUUUAGAACCUACCCACUUGGUCUCCUGGACACACUUAAUAUUGAUUCUUCUCUUCCUAAGAAUGUUUACCAGUUCUAUCGACUUACCCUGAAGGGUCCCUAUGUUCCACGACGUUACCCUCAACCUAUCAUCCUUCUUAUCCCCUUCUUUAAAACCUCGUACUCCGAAUCUCCAACCUAACCCACCUCUAAACCCCGACCCCACCCCCAACCCCCUAGGACAUGACCCUACUGCACUAUUAGCCACCCAAGCCACCACCCACGGAAAGAACAGAGAAGGCUAAAAACUGCAAUAACUAUAAAAGGCAAACGCAAAGCACACUGCAACAAAAAUUUCAAGAACAGAUGCUAGAAAUAAUCAAUAAAGAUAACCAGACAGCCUAGAAAUACUAGGCAGCCCGUAGCAAAAUAACCAACACAAAAUUUAAACAGUGGAGACAAUAUAAAAAGGCGCGAUACAAGAUAGUGCAUUAAAAUAAAAUUUCUAGGUUAGAAGUCUCCGGGAUACAUAGAUCAAGUAUUCAGCUCCUUCUUCCUGCGCUGAAAUUCGGCAAAUUGGGGUAGAUUGGUCGCCGGCAAAACGUCACCGGAAAGUCGCCGGGUCAGAUUUGGUCUUUUUUUUUGAAUAUUAUUUUUUGAUUGGCUUCAAUUCUAUCCCGUCGCCGGAGUGGAAACGGUAACCCACAGUCCGGCGAGAGAGUGAACCAGCUUUAGGGAAGGAGGGAGGGGGAGAGAGGGAGAGAGAGAGGGAGAGACGAAGGGAGAGGGAGAUGGUAUCGUACUUCCCUGUCGCCGGCGAUGUUCUUACUCCGGCGUCUAGGAGUGUCUGCUUCACCGGAGAGAGAGAAAGACGUUAGCCAGAGUAAGAGAGAAAAACCUUAGGUAGAGAGAGAGACUUAUUUAAUCUCAAAAAAAUAUUUCAGGAUGGAAAAAUGAAGAUUGAUGGCACUGAUGGUUGGUUUAGACAACAAAAAAGAAGAAAUUAAAUGUGUCUUUGUUUGAUGGAUGGUUUUGAAUUAAAUAUGAAAUAAUUGUCUUCAUUUUUUAAAAUUAUUUUAAUGACACAUGUAUUUUGUCUACUUUACAUCUGUCAAAUUGGAAAAAGAUUGAAAUGCUGAUAAUUUACGUGCUAAGGAGAAGUGAAGACCACACAUUAUUCGAUGUCAGCAAUAUGUUUUAUAGGCACACUUUUGUUUGGGUUGGAGUGUUCAACAGGUACCGGCCUUAACUGAGGUAUCAAAAUGAAAAUUGGAGCUAACUUUGAGGGGUUGUCUGUGCAUUUGGCCAUUAAAUAAUCAUGAUCCAUGCAUUUACUGACGAAUAAUUAACAACCCAUCAACUUGCAAACCAUUUGGAUCUACAAUCAGAGCGGGAAAAUGAGCUACUUAUGCUAGAAAUUAUGGUAGGCGAUGCGAACUCUGAUGAAAUCCUUCGAAGUUGUUGAAGAACUUCUAAAAGUAGCUAAUGAAACUUUCCUAACCUUUCCAGCUGUACGAAGCUACUCCAAAUACCGUAAUUUAGACUAUGUAUACAUCACAAUGAAAUUACACACUGUUUCCAACUUUGCCCCUCUGAAAUAUACUACAGGCAGUCUCACUUUUCCCUGAACUUUUGCACAGUGAUUUGUUUUUUCAGUAAAGAUGGAAGUGUGUCUGGUUGCACUUUGGAAGUGCUGUCGCACUUUUGCUCCAUUCCUUUUAUUCUUGUUCUGCUUCAGAAGUGGGGUUGUUCUAGUAAAAGUGCCUUUGUAUUUUGCCCGACUGCCCAAAUCCAUUUUUCAUCUAAAGACCUCUUCCUUGAUGAUGCUCUUGGCCAUUUUCUUAAUCUUUUCGCCUCUUUUGGUUAAUUUCUUAUCUUCAAAGAUGUCAUAUUGUAGGAAGAGACAUAAUGACGGACCAGCGGGUAAAAGAAGGCACACAAGAGAAAACUAUGAACCAACGGGCAACAAAAGACUCGUAUAGUACAGGGGUAGGGUUUCGAGGUCAUAAAUGCAUGAUGGGGCAUGCGGGGUGUUCAACAGAUAUGGAGAUUUUCCCUAGAUUGGAAUACUCACGUGAUUUACCAUGUGGAAACAGCAAGCAGUCAAAGACCCUCUUUUUAAAUAAAGAGGCUGCCCUUAAAAAGAAAUUGGGCCCAGAUCUGUUGGCCCAAAGCUUUUCUAAUUGGAAUAUUAAGAGGGCAUGCUACAAUGAGCCCAGAACCGACCCAUUGGAGGAGGAAUUAAAAGCUAACAUUUUUACUUCUAUUCUGGAAUCACAACUUACAAGUUAUGAAGUCAGUCCUUGCGAUAAAGACAUGGAUACAGAGAGUGAAGAAAUUAGAGAGAGAAGACCAACAAGCUGCAGUUAAGGAAGAAAAUCAAAUAUUACUGAUUAAAAAUAGGAGAAAACAGGCAUCAGAUUCUUAGGCGGAAGGAAACAUGCACAUGCAGCCACGGAAUCUCAACGCAACAAUGGGUUGGGCAAUUGAAGAACCAAUCCCCCUAAAUUCUGCGAAGGUGGUAGAUGAGAGGGAUGUGAAAUUUGAUGUGACAAUAAGGGUUUACCAAAUUAUAAUCAAAAUGGCUAAGGAGUUUGGGUUGGUAUUUCAUGGAUAUGAGAAGGAAUCUCUAGAGCUUUUCAUGAAAAUUGAUAGCUAGCGACAUGGAGUUUCAGUAACACAAGAACUUGGAACCCCAAAAAGAAAGGAAUCAAAGAACUGAAGAGCCUUGAGAGGGUGAGCUGUUUUGUGAGCAAUGGAACAAGCAGUAAAGGGGGGGUGUUUCAUUAACCAAGAUCAAUGAAAGUCAACAUUAUAUCAUGGAAUGUUAGGGGGUUGAAUCAACAAUAAAAAAGAAUGUUGAUUAAAAAUUUAAUUCACAUGUGGAAGGAUGAUGUUUUAUGUUUUCAAGAAUCAAAAGUCGAAGGGGAUAUUAGUGCCAUUAUCAAAGAAUUACGGCCUAAUAGAUGAGGCAAGUAUGUACAAUUGGAGGCUAGUGGGACUAGAGGGGGCAUUAUAAUAUUGUGGGAUAACAGGGUAUGGGAAGGGGAGUUUAGCAGUUUGGGUUCAUAUUCCAUAACAUGCAAGUUCUCUGGCAAGACUCAAGAACUCAAUUGGCAUUUGUCCAGUGUAUAUGGAGCAACCAGGGGUGGAAUUUGAUCUUUAGAAGAUGCUUGAAUGAUUGAAAAAUUGAUAGGAUAACAGAGUUCCUUAACACUCUAGAGCUAUUUACAGGAAUUACAACUUCGGAGGAUAGCAUCAAGUGGCAAGGAAAUAAUCAAGGAGAAUUCUCUGUCAGAUCAGCCUACAAAGAAUUCAACCUGUUCAACAAUCAGAUUGGGUGUUGGGUGUUGGCCCUGGAAGAUGAUAUGGAAAGUCAAUUCCCUAUAAAGUAUCUUGUUUUACUUGGUUAUUAGCUAGAGGAAAAGCACUCACACAGGACAAUCUGUGCAAAAGGGGUCAUCAUCUAUGUUCCAGAUGUUUUUUAUGUGGGGAGCAAGCUGAGACAAUUAAUCAUUUAUUUCUGCAGACAAUUCUGGAGAAUGUUCCUCAACUUUAGGGGGAUUCUAUGGACGAUGCCAAGUAAUAUAGUUGAUGUGCUAGCAUGCUGGAACAAAGAAGGCAGUAAUGCAAUUCAGAAAAUGAGAUGGAAGAUUAUUCCAGCGUGCAUUUGGUGGACAGUUUGGGAAGAGAGAAACCAAAGAUGUUUUGAAAACAAAGCCAACCAUCUCCAGAAGAUUAAGAUGAAAUGCUUAGGGCUGUUCUUUUUUUGGUGUAAAGCAAUAGGUUUAGAAUAUCAAGAAACAAUCUUUGAUGUAUUAGAAUCCUUGUGAGAUGACAGAGGAUCAAAUGGUUUAUACUUUUGUAACCGGUAAUUAAGGGGUGCUACAUUGUUUUUGUGUAGUCUUAUAUAAAUAUACAAAUAUGUUACCUUUUUAAAAAAAAAGAGUUGGCCACAAUAUAUAGUCAAAAACUCCUGUAACUUUAUCAGUGCAACGUAAUGAUUUUAACACAUCAUAGAUCAUCCGAAACUAUUCGUAUGAUCUAGUUGGGUUCAUUUUCCGAAGAGCUCUCCACCUGAACUUGAACCUGUCUUAGAGCAAUUAACUGAUGUUGACUCGAGAGAGAUGGAUCCUUGGGUCCUGUCAUCAUUUUGUACAUGUAAAUUCCAUAUGAACUUUGUUCUGGGUGUUGUAAUGUUAUGCUGCCUAUGCAUUCAUUGUCUAUCUAAAAGAUCUGUAGUAUGAAAUGACUUUUAGCUAUUAGAAUCAACUCCCUUCUGUUGUCUUCCCCGACACACUCUAGAUUUAUCAGAACCCUAGGUGAUGAAUUAUGAUAUAGCCUUCUGUUCAUUAUCUUGAUCGCUUGAUUAAACUCAAUAGCUCUAGAAGGUUAGACCUAACAACGUUUUAUAUCAUUGACAUACUAUUUUCAAAAAUCAAUGACCUAACAACAUUUUAUAUCAUUGACAUACUAUUUUCAAAAAUCAUAUCAUUGUUUUGUUUGAAUCUAUUUCCUGGCAGGAUUCUCCUGUCCUAAUAUGUUAGCCUUUAGGCUUUUCAACCUACCCAUGGUAAUUGAUGGCUGGACUGGCGGGGUUCUUCCGUCUUGAUCAUGGUUGGCUUUCUUAUUCUAGGAAAGUAGUAGUUGCAAAAAAGAAAAAUAGUAUGCAGUUCUAAAAUGUUGGUCCUAUUUGUUGUGGGUCACGAGUUUAACUUGUUUUGAAUUUCUCUUUAUUUUAUAUAAGCCCAUUUUUAAAUUGUGUUCGCACUCACACGAUUCCUGUGUCUUGAUCAUGUUUACCUUUAGGCUUUUUCGGAGUUACUUCCCCUGGUAGGUUGUGGCUGCCGAGUUUAAGAUUGGCUUUAAUUGUUUGUGAGCGGGUAUACAACGAAACAUAAAAAGUUGACGAAGUGCCGAUUACUGGUCCUGCUCAUGUCCAGGGUGACAUUUCUGAAGAUGUCUUUUUUUUUUCCUCUUUGGUCACAUGAUACAUUGUAUAUUUUAUCUUGCGACAUAUUUUUCCUUUAUUAUUUUUUCCUUAAAAGCUUGUAUUUAGAUUAUUUGAUGAAGAGUUGCUCAGAUUAAAGAUAUAGAAAAGGAUGCUGUAACUUGGAAUGAUGUUGCGCCCUAUAUGAAUUGAAAGGCGCGGUAGGGUGGAUGGAUGGGUGGUUUUUACAGAAUCCUGAAAUCAGAUGAUUGAUUCAGUUAAAUUUUCAAAAGAUUACCUGCCAUGGAGGUCUCUUUUUUUCUAUUUCAGUGAAGUAAUCUUACAAGUCCUUGCACUCUAUUAAUCAAAAGAGCAGUUGUAAGUUUGUUUUGGUAGAGGUGAUGACCUUCUAAAAAUGGCGCAGUAUACUUUAUUUAUUAUAGGCAUGUGUACUAAAUUUGUAGCGAAGUCUUAAUAUCAUUAAGAUGUCUACUUAAAAGAUUGACAUAGAUGAUAGUUUCACCAAUUCCAUCCAUUCACCGCUAUUGUUACCUCACCCUUGGAUUUGUCAAUCAGUGCCACCCACCGUUAUUAACUUCCAACAUUUAUAUUUACAACUGAUGUUCAACUACUACAACUAGCCGUCAACGCGACUAUUGAACAUUUACAAUGGCCAUCACUAGUUGACGGGGUCAACUAGUUCAAACCCAAUGCGGCAGCCAUAUGCACUAUGGCUUUAGCCCUUACCAUUUUUCAUUCAACACUUAGUUUGCUUGGGCUUAUGAGUUGAAACAGACACAAGCAUGUACGGGAAAGAAUCCUCGAUUUUGUAUUUAACUCGUGCCACAAAGAAGCACGUAAAAUAAGCCUUACAAAAAUUUGACCAACAUAGGCAAAUCUGGCAUGAAAGAUCAACAUAGGCAAAUCUGGCAUGAAACAACUUGCCUGUGCCUCCUGUUUGGCACAUGUUUCUAUCCUAAUUAAGUUGACAACCUUUAACUGAUAGGAUAAUUUGAAAUUCAAAUUACAACACCCACGAAGCUUCGCCACAUGUCUAGGGCGGUUGUAACUCCCAAGCUGCCCUAUUCCAGCCAUGUCUAACCUAGCUUACCUUGUCUUAGCUACACCUCCGCAACAUGACUUGCCUUAGCUUAAAUCAGCCUUAGCUUUGAUAUGUCUUAGCUUGCCAGCCCUUGUCAUGCCUUAGCCACGCCUUUCAUGCCUUAGCCAUGCUAUUUGCCAAGGUCUUUGCCAGGCCAUGCCUUGCUGACAUGACAUGCCCAUGUCAGCGGACUAGCCUCAAGCAAAUCUAACUUUGGCCCAAGUUAUUUGAUCUUGGCUAGGUUGAUCAUGUAAAUACCUAGUCAAGCUCGAGCUGCUCGAACCAUCAAUUUGAGGAUCUAACAAACUUCCCCCAGCAGAUGAGCUCGUCGUCCUCGAUGUGGUAGAAUAUAAGUAGUUGUUUGGUCAUGAAAAUUAUUUAUUUUUUUAGAAAAAAUUAUUUCACUUUAGUGAAAAAAGUGAAAACACUAAUUGUUCGCCCAUGAGAAUUCCAAAUACAAUUUGGAAUUGUAUUUGGAAAAGUGAAAACAAGUAAAAUUUAAAAAACAACUCAAAUUUAUAUUCAUGACCCAACACAAUUCCAACUCCAACUUCAAUUUCGAAAAAUUAUGAUUUUCAUGGCCAAAUGGAGCCUAAGUAGGCAUUUACCUUAUCUUCAAACUGCCACAAUGAUGAACCUUUCUCCCAAGUAGUAUCAUACACUUGCUUGUCCUUCUAUUGAAUGAUAAAUUAUGCUUACUUAUUCUUUUUGCUUUGUUCCAAAGUCCGGUGAUCCAAGAUCUUUUCAAUCUCCUCUUCAUACUACUGCCGCAUAACAUGAGGAGCACGCCUUGUUGCCGAUGUUGGAUCUUUAGCAUCUUCAUGAAAGGGUUUCAGAAAACUCACAUGGAAAGUUGGGUGGAUCUUUAGCCUUUUUGAUAGAUUCAAUCUGCAAGUUACUUUCCCACCCGUUCUAUCACUUAAAGGGUCCAUCAUAUUUCAAAAUUUGUCCAUGAUGAAUCGUCUUGCUACUGAUUUUCUUCUAGAAUUUGGGAGUGAGCUUCAACAACACCUUGUCACCAGUUUGGAAUUCUAAAGAACAACAAUGUCUAUCAUCAUACUUCUUUCUUCCUUUAGCCACAUUUCUUAAGCUAUCUUGCGCUUCAUCUGCCAACUCUUGCUUGUUUCGUGCAUACUUGUAGGCAGCAGGGUAAUUGCCCUUUGUUUUGGACCUAGCGACUUCUAGCGGCGUGUUAGGAUGCAUGCCUAACACUAGUUCAAAGGGGAUUCUCAGUUGCCGACGACCUGUGCAGAUUAUAACAAAAUUGUGCACUGUCUAGCUAUUUCACCUAUGUUUUUUGACUUGCAGUCACAUAGUGCCUCAAAUCUUUUUAAGUGGAUGAUUGAUUCGUUAGGUCUGUUAACCAGUUUAUGGAUAAUUUGCAAUUGAGUACCCAUCAUGUUGAACAGUGCAGUCCAAAAUCAACCUAUGAACCUUUUAUCUUGAUCACUCACAAUAUUAAGUGGAACAUCAAAAUUUUUCCCAUAAACUUAUAGAAUAAUUCAACAGCUAUUUCAGAAAAACAAAGAAUAGGAGCGACAAUGAAGAUAACAUACUUUGAAAACCUGUCAACCACCACCAUGACUGACGCUUUUCCAUCAACCUUUAAAAAUCUGCUAAUGAAAUCCAUAAAAACAAAAGCUCAGACGCUCCACAAUAGGCAGAGGUUGAAGCAAACCAACUUCCUUUAUUUUUUCAGUCUUGUCAAGUUGACAAACAAGACAACACUUCACAUAGGCUUCAAUGUCAUCUUCUGUUUUCAGCCGGAAAUAACUUCAAGAUAACAAUGCCAUCAUUCUUUCAACACCCGGAUGAACAAUAUAAAUACAGAAUCAUGUGUUUCUUUGAGAAGUUUUCGAUGCAACACAUCAUUUUGAGGCACCACAAUUCUUCCCCUUUAAAAUACGACAUAUCAUCCUCGAUCCAAUACCAUUUAACUAUCCCUUUCAUUUGAUCUAUUAAUUUGACAUAUAAUGAAUCAUAUACAACACUAAACUUAAUUUUAUCUAAGAAAUCAAAUCCAGUUUAGUGAUUGUGCAAACUACAACAAAUACCUUUUUGCGAAUCCAUGCAUCCACAUCUUGAUUUUGCUUUUUGGGUUUGUGUAUUGUAACGCCCAGAGACUACUCCCUGGACAUCACACGUUGCUUAAAACCACAAGUGAUCCCAACCUAACCCAUGAUAUUAGCAUAAUUUGUGAGCAACUGAAUAAAAUGCAUAAAAAUUAGAAAUAAUAAGCGAAAGAAAUGUCAUUAACUGCACUUGUUUAAUACAAAACUAUUCAAAAGCUUACAACACUGGAUAUACAAAGGAAACUGAAAUUAAAAUCCAUCAACCUUGACUUACAGUCUAUGAAGCCUCUAUAAUACUGACUAUAGGUAGUCGGGACAUGACCUCUAGACAUCCCUAAUCAAUACGAGUGAAUAAAAUAUAAUACUGAAACUUGAGUUGACUCGAGUCCUCGAAUAAAAAAAACUCAUCACCUAUUGGUUGGAAGUUGUGUUCUAUCUAAUCAUGGUGUUGUGGGCUACAAUUGGUACCUGCAUCAUGAAGCAAUAUUGCCACAAACACAUAUAUGUGGUCAGUACUUUGGAAUGUGCUGAGUAUGUGAGACAUACACUAAUCAUGAAAUUACUUAAAACAUUGCUUUAAAACGGACAAACCAUUUGCUAAAAUAUGCUUAUAAAACAUGUCUAUACUUUAAAAAAACUUAUAAGGCAUAGUGAAUUUCUAGAUCAUGAGCUAAAAUACUUUUGUAAACUAGAAAGCGGUAGAAACAUAAAUACCAUAUGUAAAUCUCAAGUUAAAGCUGAAUAGGCUGUAAAACCGUAGUGAGGAUCAUGUAUGAAUACUGAGCAUGAAUGCAUGAACAUGUAAUACGAAUGCAAGACCAAGCAUAAAUAUGUACUGAAAUAAUGAAUAACUGAUAUAUGGACACUUGGUCAUGUGAACCUGAAUUGAUAUUAUCAGAAUACUGGACUAAAAUUGUGGAAGUUAACAUUUAACCGACAUGCCCCAAUUCGAGCUAAUCGGGGUCCAUCCUGUAACCCCAGUUGGAAGGGUAUCACUACAUUGCCAUGGGUACCAACACUGGCUAUGUGGAUUCACUAAACUGGUGUCCUGAAAACUAGGGUGUCAGUCCUCUACUGGCUGGUAACCCCUAAGAGAGUUUCGGUCCUCUACUGGCGGGUGACCUCUCAUAACCUACGCUGGCUACAUAGUUUUGGAACUUAGGGACUAUUACUAAAGGUCUCAAUCCUCUAUUGGUGGGUGAGCCUCCAUCCCUAGGUUCGCUUGGUGCUAAGUUCUACUCCUAACUGAACUAAGGUUGGUAAGGAUAAUUGCUUAACAUGAUUCAAUACUGGUAAUGCUCAACAUGACAAUGCUAUAAACUUCAUGGUUUAUAUAUAUAUAUAUAAAACUUGAAAACUAUAGCAUGCAUGAUCAUCCAAGUAUCGGGUGUUCAUAACCCACCAGCAUGAAAAAUAAUAUAAUUAAAUAUAAUGGUUUCAUUGUAAUGACAUGAUAGGAAAUUUCAUGACUUAAUCCAAUCAUUUCAUCAAUAUAACAACUUAUCAUGGUUAGAGUACAAAAGAAUACUUGAAGUUAUGAGGAAAUAUAUUUCAUGGUUGGAAUCAAGAAUUACAUUAAGAGAUCAUAGAAUUUACACUUUUCAUGAAACCCUAAAUUAAAAAGGAAAUUAAAUUUGAGAAACUUUGGGACUCAAUGGGUGAAAGGAACUCAUUCUUGAAUAUCUCACAUACCUGAAUUUCUUGAUUUCUUGAAGGAGAACAUGAAUUUGGAUCCUUGAAAGUUGAAUUGUGGGAAGAAAUCCUAAUUUCUUUUCUCUUUAGAGUGGAGAGGGUAAUAAACGUUAAAGAUUGACUAAUGAUGUGAAAAUUUCAUUUAUAGGGUGAUUUAAGUCGUGGGGGGUAGGGUUUGAGUGAGGAAAACAUCAAAAUACCCCUAAAGAAACUGAACAAAAAUUGUAGGAAUUUUCAGUUGACAACUAAAUUGACAGCUUGUCAACUAGUUGAUAGCUUAUCAACUUAGUCGUCAACCUCUAGCUAGACCUGGACACUUUCUGGUUAAGGUUAAUGACUUACUUGACAACUUGUCAACUAGUUGAAGGCUUGUCAACUUAAUCGUCACCUUCUCUAAUGAUUUAAGGUGUUUUCUGGUUAUGUAUGACGAUUAAGUUGACAACUCAUCACUUAGUUGACAGCUUGUCAACUCAAGUCGUCACCUUUUCUCAGACAGAUACUCUGAGGUAAAAUAAACAUAACUUUCUACCUCGAUAUCGGAUUAAGAUGAUAUCGGAUGCGUUGGAAAGAAGACUCGAGGGUCUUUCAUUUAUAUAGUAGGCCACCUAACUCAUUAUAUUCUAGGACUAAUGGUCGUUGGAAGUUGACCCAAGCUGAAACAUCAACUAAAACUCAAUUGGUAGAAAAGUUUUCAACUCAUCUUUGAGUUAGGAAUCUUUAUGAUCUCAAUUCAUAUCCCAAGAUGUCCCCACACUAUAGAAUUGAUAAACACCCUUAUUUUGACAUGGAAAUCAUUAGUUCGGGUCUAUAUACGUAGGAACAACGGUUUGAAUUCUAGCCCAAAAAUGUGAGGGGAUACAUUAUCUCCCCCUUGGGAUCAUUCACCCUCGAAUGAAGGCUGAUAUUUGGAUGAAAAGAAUGUAAUUACUAUCUUGAAACCAAAUUUCUAAAUUUGAUCAUGUCUCGUAACUUAAACCAUCUCUUAACAGGGUACUACUCAACUGAUACAUAUGGGACAUGUACACAUAUAUAGGAAUCAUAUGGAAUGGUGUUGACAUGAUAUGCCUUCUAAUGAAGGACAUAACUGUGUUGAAACAAUAAAACUUCAAUCCUGAAACUGAUUUCUGAGAUGACUUGACUAAGUAUUAGAAGCUGAUUCAUGCUAAUAGUUCAGAACCCACUUGAAAUAUUCAUGACUCGAUCAUCAUACAUAACUUCAAAGUGAUAACUGAUGAGAUAGAAUCUUCAAGGGUUAUUAAGAAUAAAAUAUGAAUUUCCUCAAACUCUCCUUAUAAUAACUUCUAGUAACAAUCGAGGGAAAGAAUUUUGUGCAUGAUCCGAGUAUGGAAUUUGAGUAAGAAUCGCAACUGUUAACUGUUAACUCUGUGAUAUCAGCAUAUAGAACAAAAGCUAGAAUAGGAUUACUAUGUCUUAGGCAAUGCAACUGUUAACUUUCAAGCUUAGCCACACUUUUCGAAUACUCUCUCAACUAUACUUAUCCCCUUAAAUACUACACUUCAUUUGAUGCAACUUAUAAUUCUCACAUGGGUGCAUAUGACUAUCCAAAACCAAAGUCUGAAUUGAACUACAUACUCUCACCAUGUACAAGCCUAACUCGAAGUAAGUCGCAAGAUACUAUACAUAACACCAUAAUUUUAGUCUAAACCACCAGAUUCAAUAUUCUAUGUCUUUCCAGAGCUCUCAUCCUAAGCAUAACAUGCCUUACCACUUUAACGACUAACUUCGACCUCUUACCAGGAACUCACUAGCGCACAAUGCAUUCAUUUACUUAUAUACCAACAUGACAUUGAAGCCUAUCGUUAUGACCAUAUAUGAACUUCUAAGCAACCAACCCACUUAGGAAUUCUCCCAUAUUCUCUAAUACCUCUAUCAAUAACAACUUUCAUGCACUAUUCCCAAGAAGACAUACCUAGAAUUCUCAACUAACUAUGACAUAUACCUAGGCUUUGCCUUAAUCUUCCUUCAUACUUAAAAGCCUUAGAUAAAACAAGCAUACAACAAUCUUCCCUAAUAAAGGUCAUCUACUCUCUUUCAUCUAAGCCAUUGUUCAUCCAUUUUUACCACAACAUCUUAACAUAAGAAGAGGUCACUGAAGGAUAGAACACAAGAACCUAAAGCAUGAAAGAAUACUAUAUAAAACUUUGACACUUAACUGAGGCCUGAGGAAUAGAGAAUUAAAGGCAUGGAUUUGUUAAAGAGAUCUAAACUGAGGACAUCCAUAACAUAAUAUGAAUUUCACUGGUCAUUAAGAGUGUAUCAUGAGUUCUGAGAACUGAGCAUACUCUGAAACAUGGGUUCAUACUUAUCAAAAGUUUCUUAAUAUAAGAGUGAAACUCAUAGAUUCAUAGGGGAUGACUUGAAUCACCGGAGCUGAGAAUUAACUUGAAUAUGAGUGAAGUGUAUAAGCAUUGAUCACGAGCUCGGCUCUAUCACAAAGACAUGGAUAGGGUGCCAUAAUGACUGAAAUCCAAAGAAAGGAAUACGCUAGAGUAAGAAUGGAUUAACAUCUUAUCAUACCUCUUAUUAACAUGCAUCACAAUCUAAUUCUCAAAACUUGACUUAGUUCUUCACCCUAUCAUCUCCCCCUUAGAUCAAAGUUGACAUUCUAAGCCUAUGGGCCUAUUCUAUAUCCUCACGACUGGGCCAUAGUUUCUUAACUCUAAUAGUCUACACUGAAAUGCUCAACUCACCCGGAUAUACUAUAUCUGGACAAUACUAACUGCAUUCUUGGACACUCCCUUAAUAUAUACUAUCCUUAACUUUCUCUAGCUUCAACAAUCAUCAUUAUAUACUUACGCUCUUAUCCACCAACAUACCUGUCUAUCUAAACACGCAGUCUACCCUUUCUUCAUAGCUUACUAAUUCACACCCCUAAACUUAUAUUUUUCCCAAAACCAUGAAAAUCAAAUUAUACUAAAAGACUUAAUAUCUUCAACCUAUAACUCCCAACUAAGCAAUGAAGAACACCAUAUACUUUAUCACUAUCCUUCUCAUACUUACAACUCAUGGGUACUAUAUGAGCCCACAUGAAACUUUAAAAACUUAGAAAAUAAUAAAGCCCCAUAUCACCUUAGGUACUCCUCUACAUCAUACCUAUAUCAUCAUACUUAAUUGAGACAUAAAUGAGCUUAUAUUUUUGCAUACACCAUUCCAAGCUUACUAGCUCACCUUUUACAUAACUAAUAUCACUAUCCCAAACAAUCAUUAUUUCCACCUUGAUGAUCAUUCACUAUUCAAGCUUAUAUUCUAGUACUAGACAUGAUUAACGACAAACUCACAUACCAUUCUUGCUUGGCAAAACAUCAAGAAACACUAGUCCACUAGAACCUCAUAAUAAUUAUAUUUGAUUAUAAUCUUAUGGUCUAUCUUACUAUAAUCCAUUAGCAUAUCCUCUUUUCAGAUAUCACUACUACUUAUCCAUCUUUAUAUCUAAAUUAUACUCCUAUCCCUACAAGAAUUAACCAGUUUCACUUUCACAACCACAAGGAGAACCCACAUUAACAAUCCUAAUCAACAUAAUGCUUUCAUUAAUCACCUAUACUUUUCUAACACAAUCAAAUACCAUCAAGCUCAUUUCCUACUUUAAGCAUACCACAAUUCACCUUAACUAAUAACUCUUUCUCUACCCUCCUCCAUGAAACCUACACCACAUUAACUACCCCUCAGUUAACACAUAAGGACUUAUCACGUCAAUUCUACUUAAUAGGAGACAUAGAUCUGUCACUUUACACUCAACCAAACGCUAACCCCAACUUUUCUUGUUACUUCACUUAUAAAUACAUACUUCCAACUCUAAGGAUGUUCUACUACUUAUAAAUCAUAAUACCCUAAGUUACACCAUCCGUAAUAAAAACUAUAUUCAAUACUCUAGGAUCAUGAUCUUUCCUUUCAUGAGUGCUAUCUGUAAUAAAAGGUUAAUAAGGAAUCUGAGCACAUAUCACAUUCUAUCUUAAAAGCAUAAAUCAUAUAGAUGAGGACAUAAUCUUUUGAAUUGAAGGACUUAAAAUACACCAGCAGACUCUUCUUAAGCCCUUUGUGUAGUUUCUAAAGUUACUAACACUAAAUCUGAGAACAUCAUCUUAAGAGGAAUUGAAAUUUACUACUCAUGUUAUCUCAAGAAUAAGUUACAAAUGGAGCAUUAUGGAGUAACACAUGAAUCAUUAGAAGUUUCGGAGAGAAUAAUUUUACUACACGAUCUAGAGCAUGAAGAAGGGAAAUAUUUCUUAAAUGCCCAAUAGCCUCUCGAAGAAAAGUACAGACGUCUCCAUACCAUUUUAUAAGACUCUACUAGACACGACUUCAUUGAUACCCUAGGACACUUAAACUCUGUGCUCUGACACUAAGUUUGUAACGCCCCGAGACUAUCCCUUGAUGUCACACAAUGCUUAAAACCAUAAGUGAUCCUAAGCUAACCUAUGAUACUGGCAUAAUUCGUGAGCUACUGAAUAAAAUACAUAAAAACUAGAAAUAAUAAACUAAAGAGAUGUCAUUAACUGAACUUGUUCAAUACAAAACUUUUCAAAAGCCUACAACACUGGAUAUACAAAGAAAAUUAAAACUAAAAUACAUCAACUUUGACUAGCUGUCUAUGAAGCCUCUUCUAAUACUAACUAUAGAUAGCCGGGACAUGACCCCCAACCAUCCCUAAUCAAUACGUCUAAAUAAAAUAUAAUACUGGAACUAGUUGACUCGAGUCCUUAAAUCAAGAGAACUCAUCACCUGCUGACUAGAAGCUGUGUUUUGUCUGAUCAUGGUAUUGUGGGCUACAACUUGUACCUACAUCAUGAAGCAAUGUAGCCACAUAUAUAUAUAUAUAUAUAUAUAUGUAGUUAGUACUUUGGAAUGUACUGAGUAUGUGAGACAUGCACUAAUCAUGAAAAUACUUAAAACAUUGCUUUUAAAAUGAAGGAUAUAAACCAUUUGCUAAAAUAUGCAUAUAAAAUAUAUCUAUACGUAACCUGUAAGACACAGUGAAAUUUCUAGAUCAUGAGCUAAAAUACUUCUGUAAACUGGGAAACAUGAAUACCAUAUGUAAAUCUCAAGUUAAUGCUGAAUAGGCUAUAAAAUCAUUGUCACGACCCGAACCAAGGCCUGACCAUGACGAGCAUUUUGAACCAUGGAGGCCCGAAAUACCCCUAUUUGUCUGGUAAUCAUGCACCUAAUUCAUAUGAUCAAAGUAAUGCGAAAGAAACACAAUAAUUCAGAAACAUGGUCAUGAAUAUGAAAAGAAACAAUAACGGGGAAAUAAGGUUCCCUCAACAUCAAUCAACCUCUAAACAACUGUCAUACCUUGGUUGCCGUCGAGAUUAGAGUAUAAGUGAGGGAGAGACACUCAAGACCACGAAGCAUGGUGUCUCGAUCCAAUGGUAGUUCCCAAGAUCACUUAGCCCGGGCUCCUACCUACAAUCCCAAUUUGGGAAUGACAUAAAGUCAAGUACUCAAGAUCACUUAUCCUGGUACCAAAUUCCUGUGUCGGCAAACACGGUUUCCAGCGAUGAGCCGUUACACUCAAACGCUUUCUUUGGGCAUCCACCUAUCUCAUGUAAAAUCAAUGCAUUCAAAUUUCAUCUGAUUCAAUCACAUAUCAUAUUCUGUAGGGUAUCAUCAUACUCGACUUGCAAGCCAUCAAUAUCACAUCAUUCUUCCAUUCAACCAUUGUAUUCAACAUGAAUAACCUUCUCGUUUUCAAGUGAAAAUCAUAUCAAUUCUCAAAACAUUUCAGGUCAUGCUCUUCAAGAUGUUUUCAAACAAUUACAUCAUAUGAACAUUUAAAACAAAUUCACAUCAAGAGAGGAAAUUUCAUAUCAUUCAUGCUCUCAAGUUAACAUCUUUUUGGAAUACAUGCAUAUACAUAUAUCAUAUAGCAAAUCACUUUGGGAGUAGGCCUAAGGACCAAAUCAAUAUCAUAAAAUGUUUAAAACAUAAUCAUAUUCAUAAUUUCAAAACCCCCAUUUGAAAACAUGAAUUUUUAAAGCCCAUGAGAUUUUUGAGAUAACCCUACGUACCUUGAUUACUACGAAUAUUAGAUGCUUCUUGAAGCCUACGCUGAGAGGAUUUCAAAUAUGCAAUUAUUUCCUAAAACCCCCGAUUGAAUCUUGAGUUGCUUGGGUUUUUAUUUUGAAACCCUAAGGAGAAUCCUUGAGCACUUUUGAUGAAUGAAGGUGUAUUUGGGGUCCUUGGAACUGAAUUUCGUGUUUUAGAGCUAAGUAAGGGUGGAAAAGGACCAUUUUCCCCCAACAACGGAGUGUUUAAGUCACUUGAAUUCUUUACAUAGGCGCCGUCCAUCCCAUCGCUUAUGUUCACAUAGGCGCCGCCUAUUGUUUCCAGUGGCCAUGGGCAAUUGGUUAGGCGACGCAUAUCACGUUGAAAGGCCAUAACUUCUUGCUCGGGUGUCGGAUUUUAGAAAAAUUGGUAUCGUUGGAAAGCUAACUCGAAGACCUAUCAUUUGACACAUAGUAGGCUCCCUAAUUUGACAUAUACAGAGAGUUAUAGUCGAUGGAAGCUGACAUAAUUUACAACAUCCACUAAAACUUAGUCGAUCGAAAUAGUUUCAACUCGUCCUUGAGUUGAAGGACCUCUAUGGUCCAAAUUCAAGCUUGAAUGGAUUCACAUGCUACACAAAUAAUUAACAUGCCGUAUUGGCAUAGGAUUUUAUGGCUUCGGGGUUUAUCAACACAUCGAAAUCGUGGUCUAUAUUGUAGCCCAAAAUGCGGGGCGUUACAAUUGUAUUGAUGAUCAUGUAUAAAUACCGAGCAUGAAUGCAUGAACAUGUAAAGCGAAUGCAAGACCAAGCAUAAAUAUGUACUGAAAUAAUCUGAAUAACUGAAUAAUUGAUAUAUGGACAGUUGGUCAUGCAAACCUGAACUAAUAUUAUCUGAAUACCGGAAUGAAAUUGUGGAUGCCCCAAUUGAGCUAAUCGGGGUCUAGUAUGUAAUCCCGUUGGAAGGAUAUCAGUACCUGCCACAGGUACCAACACUAGCUAUGUGGAUCUACUAAACUGGUGGCCCAGUGGACUAGGGUAUCAGUCCUCUAUAGAUGGGUCACCCCUAAGAGAGUGUCAGUCCUCUACUGGUAGGUGACCUCUUAUAACCUACGCUGAUUACGUAGUUCUGGAACUUAAGGACUGCUAUUAAAGGUCUUAGUCCUCUACUGGCGGGUGAGCAUCCAUCCUUAGGUUUGCUCGGUGUUAAAUUCUACUUCCAAUUGAACUAAUACUGGUAAAGAUAACUGCUUAACAUGAUUCAAUACUUGUAAUGCUCAACAUGACAAUGCUAUAAACUUCAUGGCAUAAACAUAGUAUAUAUAUGUAUAUGUGUGUGUAUAUAUAUAUAUAUAUAUAUAACUUGAAAUCUUGAAAACUAUAGCAUGCAUGAUCAUCUAAGUAUCAGGUGUUCAUAACCCACCAGCAUGGAAAAUUAUAUAAUUAAAUAUAAUGACAUAAUAGAAAAUUUCAUGACUUAAACUCGAGAAUCCAACAAUUUCAUCUAUAUAAUAACUUAUCAAGGUUAGAGUAUCGAAGAAUACUUGAAGUUAUGAGGAAAUGCUAUUUCAUGGUUGGAAUCAAGAAUUACAUGGAGAGAUCAUGGAAUUUACACUUUUCAUGAAACCCUAAAUUAAAAUGUGUAACACCCGUACUUUCGGGCUAGAAUUCUAAUCGUCGUUCCUAUAUGGGUAAGCUCUAAUCCAAAUAAUACCAAUGUGAAUAAAAGUUUCAUGAUCAUUAACCUAGGUUGUGAAUUGCUUUCGAGGUAAAAGAUGUUCAUAGAAAUUACUUAGAUAAAAAAGAGCUAAAAGCCUUUGAUUCUCCCAAAGUUUAGUAUUCGAUUCUACAAAGGUCUAUUUUGAACAUGUACACCUUUUGAUAUACAUAGAAUUUUGCAGUUUAAGACCCACCAAGUUGUAGAUAAUUGAUUCAGCUUUCCAACAAUACCAAUUUCGCCUUCAUAUAAUAUCCGAGCAAAAAAUUAUAGCCAUUUUCGUGAGAGGCAGUGAGGUCGCGCGAUUAGCCCGCGACGCCUGCAACUAUUUUCCAGUUUUUGUUCCACAUUUGUAAGGGAAAAAAAGUCUUUUCCUUCACCCUAACUCGUCCAUAACAAAUAAUUAAAGCCCCAAAAGCAUUAGAUACAAUUUUAUUCUUUUUCUCCAAGAAAACCCUAGCCCCCUCAAGAACACCAAGGACUUCAUCAAAUUUAUUCAAGAAAAGCAAGAACCCAAGCUUCCUUAUCCAAGAAGUUCAAGGAGAAGCCUUCAAGAAUGUCUUUAGGAGUUCAAAUUUAUCUCUCUACAUCUAAUUAAUCUAAUAAGGUACAUGGGCUUAUGAACAAGGAUAUACUCUUUUCAUCCUUAUGCCCAAAACUAGUUUUUAAAGUUAAAUUUACAUGAAUUUACAUGAUUUGCAGUCUAGGGCAUAUACCCAAUUAUCAUUAUUUGAAAUUUAUGAAGUUACAAGUGAUUUAAGUGUUGAAUUGCAUCUCUAUUUUUACACAAUCAUGCGUUUGACUUGAUUUCACAUAUUGAAAAUUGAAUUUCAUUAUCUUGACUAUAAUUGUUGAAGUAUUUCAAGAUUUUUAUUGUUGAGUAUGAAGUUGUUGUGAUUUGACAUGAUUUCCAUGCAUGGGUUAUAAGCCCUAAGUUUAAGUCUUGAUAUUUCAAGAAAGAUGAUAUUUAAGCAUUCUUUGAUAAGUAUGUAUUCAGAUUUUUAAGCAAGAUUUGAUCUUUUGAUCCUUAGCUAAGAUAUGGAAUCCACACAGUUAGUUUUAUUACAGUUUACAGUAAACAGAUGCAUAACUGGUUUUUAUUAUAAUCCCUUAUGCUAGUUAUAUGGUGGAUUUUCUAUAGAAUGAGCAUACAGAUUAAAAGAAAUAACAUUUAGCACCGAGUUAGGUAUGAUUCCAAGGUCUCAUGCCCUAGAACUAUGAGCCAACGUAGGUACAAAUUCAUAUUAUUCCCAUUUAUAUGGAUGUAGGUACAGAUUAUGAUCACUUAGCAGUAGGCUAUACUCCUUGGCAAGAGUUUGACUCCUCUCCCCAACGUGAGGGCUCAUUAUUUUAUUCAGAUAUUAUUUUACAUCAGACUUUAGUUAUGAGAUUUCAGUUUUCAGAUAUAAAUGUGAGUCCCUUUUUACACUUCGCCUGCAUGAUUUGAAAACAGAUUUUACUUCAGUCUUACUUAGUUCACUACUAGAAAGAGUAAACGUACAACUUUUAGAACUAAGUGUUAUGGCUCACAAGAUUUAUAUAGUAUGCUUUAUCAUUCAUGAUUUAUGAUUUUUCAGCUUUUAGUUAUUCAAGCCAAUGUGAGUCAUUUGCACUUAGCAGGCAUUAUUUAAAAAUCUAUGGGUAUAUAUACAAUUAUUAUUUUACUUAUGCAUUCACCCCCAUAUGCUUAGUACAUUUAAAAGUACUGAUCCACAUAUACGUCUAUGUACUACAUUAUUUAAUAAUAUAGGUACCAGUUCAGUUGUAGUCCAUAUAUCAUGAUCAGACAUUUGCAGAUUCCAGCUCACAGGUGAUAAGUCCUCUACUUUGGGGACUUCAGUUGGAUGCUAUUCAUGUACUUUAUUUUCUCACUCAUGUGUAUUGAUUAGUGGUAGUUGGAGUCACAUCCCAGCUAUCUAUAGUUAGUAUAGUAGUGGCUUCAUAGAUAGUCAGUAGAGUUAAUGUAUUUGAUUCCAGUUUUGUUUUGUAUAAACAGAGUUGUAAUCAUUUUAAUAUAGCUUUGUAUUGAUCUGAUUUAGAAAAGAUUGAUCUUCCACUUAUGUCGUUCAUAUUUAUGUAUUUUAUUUAGUUGCUCAUGAUUUAUGUCAAUAUAACAGUUAGCUUGGGAUCACUUGUGGUCCUAAGCACUGUGUGAUGACUAGUGUGUAGUCUUGGGUUGUUACAACUUGAUAUUAGAGCACAAGGUUCACGUGUUCUAGUGUGUCCGUGAAACCGUGUCUAGUAGUCUUAUGGAACAGUACAGAGAAGUCUGUACUUUUCUUUGAGAGGUUACAAAUUUCCUUUCUUUCACACUCUAGAUCAUGCUAUAAAAUUGUUCUCUCAAAAACUUCUAUCGAUUCGUGUGUUACUCUAAAAUUCUCCAUCUGUGUAUUAUUCUUGAGAUAACAUGAUUAGUAAGUUCCAAUUCCUCACAAGAUGAUGCUAUCAGAUUUACUAUCUGUGACUUCAGAAGUCACACAAAGGGCUUGAGAGUAGCUCGCUAGUGUGUUAUAAGUUCCUCAAGUUGAAAGUUAUGUCCUCGUCCAUAUGAGUUGUUCAGUUAAGAAAGAGUAAGAUAUAUAUUCAGAUUCCCCAUUAGCUCAUUUAUUCAGAUAGUACUCAUGAGAAGAGAUAGUAUGAAUCUAGAUUGUUAAAUAAAGUUUGCAUUCGAGGGAUAUUGCAACCUAGAGUGUUAUAAUUUAUAAGUAGUAGAACCUUUCUAUAGUUGGAAGCGUGGGUUUAGGAAUGUAGUGACAAGAAAAGUGGGAAUGACGAUUGAUGAAAAGUAUAAAGAUAAACUUAUGCAAUGCUAUCGAGUUGUGUUAAGAAGAUAUGUCCUUGUGUGUUAAUUUUGUAAAAGGUAGAGCAGGAGUUAUUAGUUAAGGUGGUUUGUGGUUUGCUUGAAGUAUGAAAGGCGUUAUUAAUGGUAUUUAUUUUGUUAGAAAAGUAUAGGUUGUUAAUGAAAGUAUUGGGUGGUUAAGUAUUGUUAAUUUAGGCUUCCUUUGAGGUUUGAAAAGGAGUUUAGUUGAAACUUAUAGAGCUAUGAAAGUAAUUCAGGUGUAUAGAUUGGUAAAUAGUCGCAAGGUGUUAAAAGAGGAGGUGCUAAUGUAUUAUAAUGAGAUAGACCAUGCGAUCAUGAUCAAUUAUUGUUAUUAUGAGGCUUUAGUGGAAUAGUGUUUCUUGAUGUUUUAUUGUAUAGCUUCCAAGUGAGAAUAGUAUAUGAGGUUGUGUUAUUAAUCAUGCCUAGCACUAAACACUAAGUUUGAAAAAUGGAUGGUUAUCAAGGUGGAUGUAAUGAUUGCUUGGUUAGUGAUGCUAAUUAUAUGGAGGUGAACCAAUAGGCUUGAACCAGUGAAUGAAAGAAUUUAAGUUUGUUGAUUUGAGAUUAAGUAUGAUGUUGUAGGUAUGACGUAAAGGUAUGCCCAGGGUGAUAUGGGGUUGCAUUAUUUUCUAAGUCUAUUAAGUGUUGUGUGUGGUUAGUAGUACCCUUGAGUUUCUAAGUGGAAGAAGGUUAGUUGUAUAGUACAUGGUGUUCUUGAUAGCUAAGUUAAGGAGUUAUGGAUAGAUGGUUUUGAGCCUUUUAAGUAUGAUCUUGAUUCUUAUGGUUUGAGAAAAAUAUAAGUAUAGAAGUGUGAUCUUGGUAGGCUAUGAUUAUGUGUUUAGUGAGGUAGGUGUGUUUUCAAAAGAGAGUAUAAGUCUUUGACGAUGAUUAUUGAAGCUAGAGAAAGUUAAGGAUGGUAUAUAUAAAAAGGAUUGUCCAAGAAUGAAGCCAGUAAGUUCAAAAUAUAAUUUAUUCAUGGGAGUUUAGCAUUUAUGUGUAGACUGUUAGAGCAAAGAAAUUCUGGCUCAACCCUAGGAAUAUGAAAUCAAUCCAUAAGUUUAGAAGGAUGGCUUUAACCUAAGGGGGAGAUAUUGUAAGACCCUAGCUUAUUUCAGUUCCCUAUUGCAAUUAAAGGGGUCCAAGACUUAGAAAAUUCACUAAGUGUUAGGACUUAGUCAUUUCUAAAGACCUUAUACUUCGGUGAUUUGAUUUCGACCUUCCUAACCUUAGAAUGUCGAUUUUAAAGUUGAUUCAUAUCGGUGGUGUGAAAGGUACAUCUCGAGAAGUUUUGAAAUUUUUGAACAAGCGUAAGGGCAUGUUUGGAAGUCCAAAAUAUUAGCUGCCCGUGGCGCGCCCCCCCUUAUUUUUUUUCCAUCUCCUACUUCAACAUAUUUAAGGGCCAAUGCUUAUACAUUUAAUGUGUAUUCAAGUUUAUUUUUAGCUUCCAGUAAGUAACAACUUCACUCUGUGAUUUAAGUCAUCCCUCAUAAAUCUAUGAACUCAAGUCUUAUGUUGAAUAACUUAUGAUAAAUAUGAACUUGUGUUUCAGAGUAUGAUCAGUUCUCAGAACUCAUGCUACUAGUGAAAUUCACAUUAUAUCAGGUAUGUCCUUAGUUUAGAUCUCUUUAAUGAAUUCAUGCCUUUGACAUUCUAUUCCCCAGGCCUCAGUUAAGUGUUAAAGUUAUGUAUAGUAUUCUUUCGGGCUUCAGGUCCUUAUGUGUUAGACCCUUAGUGACCUCUUCCUAUGUUAAGAUUGUGGUGAUGAUAGUGGAUAAGAAAUAGUUUAGAUGAGAGAGUUGACGACCCUCAUUAAGAAAGAUUAUUUAUGUUUUUUUCUAUCUGAGGCUAAAGGAUGAAGGACUAUUGAGGUAAAUCUUUGGUAUAUGUCAUAGUUAGUUGAGAAUUCUGGGUAUGUCUUCUUAAGAAUAGUGCAAGAAAGUUGUUAUUGAUAGUGGUUUAGAGGAUAUGAGAAGUAUGCCUGUGUGGAUUUUUGCCUUAAAGUUCAUAUGUGGUUAUAAUGAUAGGCUUGAAUGUCAUGUUGGGAUAUAAGUGGAGGAACACAAUAUGCGCUAAUGAAUUCAUAGUAAGAGUUCAGCGUUAGUCAUUGAAGUGGUAAGGCAUGUUAUGCUUAGGGUGUGAGCUCUAGAAGAGACAUAGAAGAUUGAAUCAUGUGGUUUAGAGUAGUAUUAUGGUGUAGCGUGUUGUAUCUUGUGAUUUUGAGUUAGUAUUGAUCAUGGUGAGACAAUUUGGUUCAGUUUAGGCUUUAGUAGAUUGAUUUAUCAAUGCCCACAUGAGAAUUAUAAGUUGAAUCAAAUGCAUAUGGUGUUUAAGGGGAAAGUAUAGUUGAGGUAGUAUUUGAGAAGUGUUGCGAAGCUUGAAAGUAAAAAGUUGCAUUGCCUAAGGCCCAGCUUAUGAUUUAUAUGUCUAUGUUCCAUGCAAUAGAGUUGUAUCAAUGUUGUGAUUCCUUAGUCAGAUGUUUUGUUCAGAUCAUGCCCAAAAUUCUUUGCCUCAUAAUAUUAUUAGAAUUUCUUAAAAGAGUGUUGGAGAAAUACUCCAUCUGAGUAUGGGCAGUCAGUAUGGUCCAGUCCAUAGAGCUUGUAAUCCAGUUUAGCAAUCAAGCAGAUAUGCUCCUAUAGAUUUCCAACUUUCCAUCUAGUCUUACUACCCAAAGUUUCACGAGUAAGGCCAUUCUUUGAGGUAAAAUGUUUGUAUUUAUGCAAAUUACGAAUUCAACUCAGUUUAUGCAUCCUGCAUCAUUUUCAAAUUUAGAUAUUAAGUCAUGAUGCAGCUCGUAAGUGCUCUGUGCAUCAUCUCAGUCUUUUCUCUGUAUUUCAGCUAAGUCAGUAUUGUUCAGGGAUUGAACUAUCCCAUGGGGGAGAUGCUGAGAUACCCCCGAGUUUUCAUGUGCUAAACCUCUCAACUUUUCUUUAUGAAAUCCGAUCCAACCUAAAAUAAUGGUUACUCAUAAGUUGACACUCUCGUUUUUGUCUCAGCCUUACGAACAUUCUCAUGUUGUUGCAUGUAUUCAAGAAAUUAGUUCAGUUCAUGAUAUUCAGUUCAUGUAUUAUGUUUCAGACUCUGUUAUGCAAUCAUAUUCCCAGUCAUGCAUGUUCAGAAUAUGAUCUCAGUUACUUUAGUACAGUACUCUCAAUCUAAUCAGUCUCAUUUGAGGACGAAUGUUCCCAAAGGGGAGAUAAUGUAACACCCUGUACUUUCAGGAUAAAAUUCUAACCGUUAUUCCUACAUGUGUAAGCUCUAAUCCAAAUGAUACCCAUGCGAAUAUAAGUUUCAUGAUCAUUAACCUAAGUUGCUAAGUGCUUUCGAGGUGAAAGAUGUUCAUAGAAAUCACUUAGAACAAAAAGGAGCUAAGAGCCUUUGUUCUCCCAAAGUUUAGUAUUCGAUUCUAUAAGGGUCUACUUUGAACAUGUACACCUUUUGAAAUAUGUAGAAUUUUACUGUUUAAGACCUACCAAGUUGUAGAGAAUUGAGUCAUCUUUCUAAUGAUACCAAUUUCGCCUUAAUCUUAUACUCCAGCGAAAAAUUAUAUCCAUUUUUGUGAGAGAGGCAGUGAGGUCGCGCGAUUAGCCCGCGACGUCCGCACCAAUUUUCCAAUUUCUAUUUCAGCAUUUUAAGGGCAAAAAUGUCUUUUCAUUCACCCUAAAUCGUCCAUAACAGAUAAUUAAAGCCUCAAAAGCAUUAGAUACAAUCUUAUUCAUCUUUUUUCUCUCCAAGAAAAUCCUAGGCCCCUCAAGAACACUAAGAACUUUAUCAAUUUUUCUUCAAGAAAAGCAAGAACCCAAGCUUCCUAAUCCAAGAAGUUCAAGGAGAAGCCUUCAAGAACGUCUUUAGGAAUUCAAAGUCAGCUCUCUACAUCAAAUUAAUCUAAUAAGGUAUGUUGGGUUAUGAACAAGGAUACUCCUUUCAUCCUUGUGCCCAAAACUAGUUUUUAAAGUUGAAUUUACAUGAUUUGCAGUCUAGGGUUUAAACCCAAUGAUCAUUAUUUGAAGUUUAUGAAGUUACAAGUGAUUUAAGUGUUGAAUUUCAUCUCUAUCAUGCGUGUGACUUGAUUUAACAUAUUGAGAAUUGAAUUUGAUUAUCUUGACUAGAAUUGUUAAAGUAUUUCAGGACUUUUAUUGUUGAGUAUGAAGUUGUGAUUUGACAUGAUUUUCAAGCAUGGGUUAUAAGCCCUAAGUUUAAGUCUUGAUAUUUCAAGAAAGAUGAUAUUUGAGCAUGUAAUCCUCAGCUAAGAUAUGGAAUCCAAACAGUUAGUUUUAUUACAGAUUAUAGUAAACAGAUGCAUAACUGGUUUUUAUUAUAAUCUCUUAUGCUAGUUAUAAGGUGGAUUUCUUACAGAAUGAGCAUAUAGAUUAAAGGGAGUAGUAUUUAACACCGAGUUGGGUAUGAUUCCAAGGUUUCAUGCACCAGAACUAUAAGCCAACGUAGGUACAAAUUCAGAUUAUUCCCAUUUAUAUGGAUGUAGGUACAAAUUGUGAUCACUUAGCAGUAGGUUAUACUCCUUGGCAAGAGUAUGACUCCUCUCCCCAAAGUGAGGUUUUCCCCUUAGGGGAACUAGACGUUGGACUCCAUGAUAGCUCAUAUGGUUUAUGUCGGUUAGAAGCACCUCCCUAAGUCCUAAAACAAAAUAAUAGAACAACAUUUAGAAACUAAGUGUAAAAGGCUCACAGUUUUAUUCAGAUAUUGUUUUUCAUCAAACUUUAGUUAUGAGAUUUCAGUUUUCAGUUUACAGAUAUAAAGGUGAGUCCCUUUUUACACUUAGCCUGCAUGAUUUGAAAACAGAUUUAACUUCAAUCCUACUUAUUUUACUACUAGAAAGAGUAAAAGUACAACUUUUAGAACUUAGUGUUAUGGCUCACAAGAUUUAUACAGUAUACUUUAUCAUUCCUAAUUUAUGAUUUUUAGCUUUAAGUUAUUCAAGCCAAUGUGAGUCAUUUACAUUUAGCAUGCAUUAUUUGAAAAUCUAUGGGUAUAUAUACAGUUAUUGUUUUACUUAUGCAUUCACCCCCAUAUGCUUAGUACAUUUCAAAAGUACUGAUUCACAUAUACUUCUAUGUGCUACAUUAUUUAAUAAUAUAGGUACCAGUUCAGUUGUAGUCCAUAUAUCAUGAUCAGGCAAUUGCAGAUUCCAGCCCGCAGGUGAUGAGUCCUCCUACUUUGGGGACUUCAGUUAGAUGUUAUUCAUGUACUUUAUUUUCUCACUAAUGUGUAUUGAUUAGUGGUAGUUGGAGUCCCGUCCUAGCUAUCUAUAGUUAGUAUAGUAGAGGCUUCAUAGACAGUCAGUAGAGUUAAUGUAUUUGAUUCCAGUUUUAUUUUGUAUAAGCAGAGUUGUAAUCAUUUUAAUACAGCUUUGUAUUGAUCUGAUUUAGAAAAAAUUAAUCUUCCUCUUAUUUCAUUCGGAUUUAUGUAUUUUAUUCAGUUGCUCAUGAUUUAUGCCAAUAGAAGGGUUAGCUUGGGAUCACUUGUGGUCUAAGCAUCGUAUGAGGACUAGGGGGUAGUCUCGGGUCGUUACAAAAAGAAAAAUGAAUUUUGGAAACUUUGGGACUCAAUGGGUGGAAGGAACCCAUUGAUGAAUAUCCCACAUACCUAAAUUUCUUGCAGGAAAACAUGAAUUUGAAUCCUUGGAAGUUGCACUUUUGGAAGAAACCCUAAUUUAUUUUCUCUUGAGAGUGGAGAGGAGAAUAAACGUUGAUAAUUGACUAUUGAUGUGAAAAUAUCAUUUAUAGGGUGAUUUAAAUCGUAUGGGUAGGGUUUGAGGUGGGUAAAAGACCCAAAUACCCCUAAAAAACUGAACAAAAAUUGCCUGAAUUUUUAGUUGACAACUAAGUGGACAUUUUGUCAACUAGUUGAUGACUUAUCAACUUAGUCGUCAACCUCUAGCUGGACUUGAACACUUUCUGGUUAAGGUUGACGACUUAGUUGACAACUUUUUGAUGGUUUGUCAACUUAGGCGUCACCUUCUCUAAUGAUUUAACGUGUUUUCUUGUUAAGGAUGAUGACUAAGUUGACAACUAUCACUUAGAUGACAGCUUGUCAACUUAAGUCGUCACCUUCUCUUUGAUAGACAUUCCGAUGUAAAAUAGGCAUAACUUUCUAUCCCGAUAUCGGAUUAAGGUGAAAUCAGAUGCGUUGGAAAGAACACUUGAAGAUAUUUCAUUUGAUAUAUAUUAGGAAACCUAACUCGUUAUAUUCUAGGAGAAAUGGUCUUUGGAAGUUUACCCAAGAUAAAACAUCCACUAAAACUUAAUCAGAAGAAAAGUUCUUAACUCAUCUUUGAGUUAGGGGAUCUUUAUGAUCUUGAUUCAUAUACCAAGAUUUUCCAACACUAUGUAAUUGAUAAACACACUUAGUUGACAGUAAAAUUAUUUAGUUUGGGUCUAUAUAUGUAGAAACGACGGUUUGAAUUCUAGCCUAAAAAUGUGAGGGGUUACAUGUAUCCAAACAAAGUCAUAUUCAACAAGAAUCUCCUACCAUCGAUCCUGCUCCAUGCUCAAUUUUUGUUGAGUUUCGAAGUAGUCCAUCUUGGUAACAAACUUCAUUCCCAGCAAAUGCACUAUCCAAAUUUGAGGACAAUGGAGGACCGCCGCCAUUUCCUACCUUUGUUUUGAAGUAUUUAAUUUUCUGCUCUCAAACGCUACCGAAUGAUCCUCUUGCACAAAUACACCACUGAAUGCAUAAUCAGAAGCAUCACAUGAACUUUGAAAGGCAAGUCAAAAUCAGGAAACCGUAAUAUUGGUUCAGUAGCAAUGGCUUUUUUUUUCAAGGACUUAAAAGCCUUGUUACUUGCUUCAGACCAAACCCACUUAACAUUGUUCUUCAACAAGUCCGUCAAUGGGGUAUCCAUCUUUGAAUAGCCAAUAAUGAACUUCUGAUAAUAGUUUGCUAAGUCCAAUAUUGAUUUCAAUUCUUUAAUCCCACUUAGUGUUUGCCAAUCCACAAUAGUCUGUACUUUCUUAGGGUCCAUUAUAACCUAGUUUUCACUAACCAAAUAGCCCAAAUAUUUGAUCCCACGGCAAGAAAUCUUAUAUUUUUCCAUCUUGACAUAGAGUUGAUAUUCUCCAAGUUGUUGCUGCACCGUUCUCAAAUGCUUUUGUAUUUGAUCUCACGACAAGCAAACUCAUAUUUUUCCAUCUUGACAUAGAGUUGAUAUUCACCAAGUCGUUGCUGCACCGUUCUCAAAUGCAACAAAUGAUCUUCUAUUGUCCUACUAUAAAUAACUAUAUCAUCUAAGUAAAAAACUACAAGGUCAUCAAGGUACUCGCAGAGAACAUUAUUCAUUAUGUUACAGAAAGUAGUUGGGGCAUUAGUCAGUGCAAAUGACAUUACAAGGAAUUUAUAGCUACCAUAUCUAGUAACAUAAUUGGUCUUUGGGGUAUCUCCCUCGGCUAUGCACACUUGCCAAUAGCCAAACCUUAAGUCUAAAUUAGAAAAUAAACUAGCCUCAGACAACCUAUCCAUUCCAGAUACUUAUUCUUCAUAGUCAUUUUAUUCAGUACACAACAGUCAGCACACAUUCGUAGACUUUCAUCUUGCUUCUUUUAGAAAAGAAUAGGGCCACCAUGAAGAGCCUUCAAAGGCUGUAUCAGUCCAGCCUCAAGUAAUUCAGACAAUUUCUCUCUCAAUUAUGCCAGCUCUGAUGGAGACAUUCGAUAAGAAAGGUGUGCUGGUGGCAUUGAUCCAUGAAUUGGAUUAAUCUUGUAAUCAAUUUCCCUCCUCGGAGGCAACUCUUUAGGUAGUUUUAGUGCCAUAACAUUCUUGAAUUCUACCAACAACUUAGCAACACUAUUUGGGACUUCAAUUUGCAUAUCAGGCUUUAUUACAACUAAGGCAACAAGAUAAACAGUCUCACCCUUUUUCAAGCCUUUUUCAAAAUCCAUAGCAGACAACAUAGCAAUAAUUCCGAAGUGUUUCCUCUUAUUUUCCUCAUUAUAAGGUCGAAUAACUUUCAUAAAUAUAGGGUCCAUUUCCCCCAUGAACAUUAGAACAUCCAAGUUAAGAAUAGGGGUGACCUUGAACUUCAUAAAAUCAAUCCCAAGUAGAAGAUUGAAGUCAUCAAACGGCACCACAAUCAAGUUGUGUAGUACAAACCAAUUACCUAUGGUCAAGGAGACAUCUAAUGCAUGGCAUGACUUUUACAACCUCCAUUAGCAUUACACAAGUAGUCACCUUCAGUCUGUAUGCCUAUUCAAUUUCUGAGGCCAUAAAAGUGUGAAUAGCAUCGGUAUCAACCAUUGUCACUAUAUUUUGUUCCUAAUUUUCACAUUAACGUACAUCAAAGAAUUAUAGACAUACAUAAAAAUCAACACUUUUAGCGGUAUUGAUCAAAGCAUCAAUGUUAUAUUUUCCUCCAUUUUCACCACAUUCAUACUAGACAACAUAUUCAACAAACCCAUAUUUCUCCUCUCCAGCAAGAAGAGAAUUGAUCUUUGUGUUUGGGAUAGUUUCUGGCCUUAUUCUUAGGUUUUUACAAGUCUAACGGGCUUUUUCACUAGCUUGCUUUCUUUGAUUAGAUAGAGAAGCAUCCAUCUUUCCCUUGCCUUUGUUAUUUUCUUCUUGCUUACGAUUGUCCUUCUUCUAGUCUCUCCCUUUUUUGUCUUCUUUAUUUUGGAAGAAGUAGGAUCAAUGGCAACACUAUUUGAAUAAAAAUCAAUGAAAGAAUCCGACGUUGCUAUGGCACUAAGCAGAUCUUGAACUUCUUGCAUACACAGUUCAUUCUGUGCCCAAACUUCCUUUUAUUCUAGAAAUAAAGUUGUGCAGUUUAUCUUUAACAGAUAUGUUAAGAAUAUCAAGCAUCAAAGAAGAAAAUUCCUUCACAUAGUCCCAAAUGGAACCAACUUGUUUCAACCACUUUAGUCUAUCCCUAGCAACCCAAGAUGAGUUACUAGGCAGAAAUUUCUCAUGAAGUGUAUCCAUCAGUUUUUCCACGUAUCACACUUGGGUCUGCCAACACUUUCAUCAUCAUCAUUCUUUGAAUGACACCACAACACUGCAUCAUUCCUAAGAUAACGAACUGUCAUGGUCAAUUUUUCAAUUUAGGCACAUGAGUAGUUGCAAAAUAGUGAUACAAGUCCCACAGAAAAUUUUCUUGUUCCUUAGCACCACAAACACUAGCAAAGUACUUUGGUUUUGGAAUUUUGAUUUUGGCAUGUUCUUCACUGCCAUGCAAUAAACCAACAACAACCUACCACCACCUCUGUCUUCAAAUCUUUAUUUUCCUUUAAAAGAUCAUCAAUUUCUAUACCCAUGAUUUCACUAAAAUUAAAAAAAUAGUUAGUUGACUAUCCACAAUAGCACAAUAAUUUGUUAGUUCUGUGUUAAUGUCUUGGAUUUGAGUCAUGACAUCAACCAGUUCAUCUGCAUCAUCUUUCAAACCAACUAACGUCUCUAGACUUGCAACUUUUUCAUAAAAUUCAUCGUAGUUCGCUCCGUCAACAAUUACAAUACAGAGCUCUGAUACUAAUUGAGGGGGGUCGACCUUUUAGUUUGAACCCAAUGCAGCAACCACACAUACUAUGGCAUCAAUACUUACUUUUUUCACCCAACACUUAGUUUGUUUAGGCUUAUGAAUUAAAACAUACACUAGAAUAUUCAGGAAGGAAUUCCCAACUUUAUAUUUAACUCAUGCCACAUAGAAGCACACAAAAUAGGCCUUAUAAAAAUCUGACCAACGCAGUCAAAUCUAUCUUGAGAUAGCCAGCCUAUGGCUAUUUAUAGGCCACAACUUCUAUCACAUUCCAGUCACAUGUCCAACAUAUGUUUGGCACAUAUUUCUAUCUUAAUCUAGUUGACAUCACCAAAUAAUAGAAUAAUUCAAACUUCAAAUACAAAUUCGAAUUACCAUAGCAAUAAAGCUUUCCAUAUGUACAGGGUGGUUGUAACUGUGCAACUGCUGUCAUGUGCAGGGAACGUGCCCACUGCCAGUACAUCCUUGGCAGUACUUGUCCUAAUUUUGCACUAUGGCCUUGGCUGUCUGUGAUUCGCCCAUGCCAUUACCUUGUCAGCACCAAACCACCCUAUUCUAGCCAUGUCUAGCCUAGUUUGCCUUGUCUUAGCCAUAUCUCUGCAACAUGAAUAUCUCCGCAACAUGACUUGCCUUGCUUAAAUCAACCUUAGCCUUGAUAUGCCUUAGCUUACCAACCCUUGUCAUGCCUUAGGCACGCCUUAGCCAUGCUAUUUUCAAGGUCUAACCAUGCCCAACCAACACGUGCUAUGGCUUCCUGACAUGCUCAUGUCGGCAGACUAGCCUCUAGUAAAUCUAACUUUAGCCCUUGUCAUUUGGUCUUGGCUAAGUUGAUCAUGUAAAUUUCGUCAAGCCUGAGCUGCCCAAACUAUCACCCCUACCCCCAUUUUUUUAAAAUUUGUUUUUUAAAAAUAAAGUAAUUUUUUAUCACCCCCACCCCACCCUAUCUCCCCCAAGCACCACCCCCACCCCAUAAAAAAACAAAUAAUUAUUUUUUUUACAAAAUGUUAAACUUAUUUUUACUGUCCCUACCCUUACCCCAAAUGCAACCCCUCACUCCUCACCCCUACAUCGACCCCCAACACUCCCACCCCACCCCUACCUCUACCCCCAAGACUCCCACCCCACCCUCAUCCCCCUAAAAAAUUAUAUCUUUUUUAAUUUAUUUUUUUUUUCAAAAAUUAUUUUUUUUGAUCACCCCUAUCCCUACCCCAAUUUAAUUUUUUUGAAUUUAUUUCUUUUAAAAAUAAUUUUUUUUUCACUUCACCCCGACCUCGACCCUCCUCCCCAACAAAUUAAAUUUCUUUUAAUUUGUUUCAUAAAAAGAAAUUAAUUUUUUUAUCAUUGCCCCUCUCGACCCCCACCUCCUAACCCCCCCCUAAAAAAAAAUAAAAAAUUUAAUGUAACUUCUUUCUUCUUUUAUUAAUAGGCCUUUUUUUUUUACCCAUUUUAUCCAUUAAACUACCCAAUUUUAAAUGGGUAAUAUGAGUUUUAUUCAUAUUUAAUCCACCCAACCCAUUUAAGAUGGGUUAAUUUGGAUGGAUACUCAUAUAAUUACUCAUUUUGCCACCCCUAGUCAUCACUGAUCAUCGUUACCACAACAGCAAAGUACCAAUUACUGCUAUUAAUUGGCAUCGUAUAUCUUCAACUAUUGUGAUUGUUCAUUACCAUCACUAACUAUCACUAUCAUACAUCUCAACUAUCAUUGGUUAUCACCUAUCCACCAUUACCACUAACUAUACCCACAACUGUGGCGGAGUCAAAGAUUUUAUGAAGAGUGUGCAAAAUUUAAAGACAACAAUAUAAAUUUUAGUCCAGUGAGUUCACAUUCAUCUUGCUCAACCUAUCAACUUUACCAUAUAUAAUCUCAAUAAUUAUUUUCUACCAUGUAUAAUAAUCUAAAAAAGAUUAUGGGUUCGGGUCAUCAAGAAAGCAAAAAGAUAGGAUUUGCAGGGGUGGCUACAAAAACAAAUUAGUUAGUAUUUCCUCCGUCCAUAUUUAGUUGUUAACUACACUAAAAAUAUAUGUUCAUGUUUACUUGUUUUGAGUUUAUAAAAUCAAGAGAUGAGUUAUCACCUAGUUUCUAAUUUAUUCUUAUUAUUAAUUAUAUCUAUUAAUUAUUUCUGAAAUAUUAGAUCAAUUAUAAUUAGGGGGUAAUAAUAAUAAAACUAAUUGAACAUACUAAAUGAUCUAUCUUUGUGGUGGAUCAUUUAGUAAGUUCAUUUCAAAAAGUGCCAAAUUCAUUUCAGUAAAUAAUAUAAUAAUGUGCCAAAUGAAUACGAAGUAAAAGUGGAUGGAAGAAAUAUUAAAUAUAUGGAAGAAGUAUCUAAUGACUCCUAAAGAAGGAAGUCAAUUAUUAUUUAGAUUUGAGGGAGGCAGAUUCAAAAAGAAGAGUUGAAGAAAUAAAAAAGAAAUUAAGAAGAAGAGAGAAAGCUAGUGAAAUUAGGUGACCUAUAUAAGAUCAAUCUCUUGAAAAGAAUAUGUGAAUGCGUAAGUUAAAGUAGAAAACCUAUGGAGAUUCAAAUCCAUGAUCUCACACAUAUUUUUCAAUAAUUUUCCAUUGAACUAAAGGCUUUGACUAUAUCAAGGGUUUGCAAACGUUAAUAUAUAUUGAUUGUUAAUAAUUCUUAGAUCUAUACAUACAAUAUAAUUUUAUCAGCGAAUGACUGUAGCUCCACCCUUGACCCACAGUAGUUUUGUACCAAAAAAUUAUCACCAAUCAUCAUAAAAUAGUUUGUUGACAUAAUAUUAAAAUAAUUUUGUAUUUUCUUAAAUUCAAAUUUAUUGAUUUUAAUUAACAACCAAGUAUUAAUGCAUAUCCUAAUAUUAAAACGUGUAUUCAGAUUCCGAAGGUUAGGGCAUUUAGUAUGAGGUAAAAUAUUUUUAAGAAAACAAGUGGUAUUUUAUCUAUUUUCUUGCGUGUAUCUUGACACAAGAAUUCAUAUAACAAAAUAAUAAUAAUAAUAAUUUUUUUAAAAAAAUUAUAAUGAAACAACUCAAAUGUUGUGAUAGAGUAGCUCAUUAAACUUAGUAAAGUCAUCGAUGAUGAAAAAAUAAUCACUUUCACGUUGUUUUGUUCAAAAAUCAUGUCAGUCCGUUCAAGGUAAAAAAAGAGUCAAAUAGCCCAUCAAUCAUGCCAAAUUGAGGGCAAAACCAUAAUAAACACAUGUCAUUUCAAGGGCAAAUCAAGUCAAUAUGGGUGUUUUACUUUCUUUCAGGCAAAACUAAAGUCGAGAGAGACAUACUUUUAGGAUUCUUAUUUCACCAGGGAUACAUACCCUCUGAGGUCAAUCAUCCUUUGAACUGAAACAACUACUCGAAAGUGUUUCAUUAGGAUCUAUAAUGGUUAUUUGUCCUCUCGAAUAACACAACUUGCCCAUAUAAGUCCAAACACAAAUAAUAGUGAUUAUGACUUCUUAGCAAAAAAUCUUUCAAAUCAUCAUCUCAUUAUUAGAGGUGCAUCGAAUUAUUGUUCAAGAUUCCAAAGUCAUGUUUAAAGUCAUUAAAUCAUAUUUCAAAUCAAUAGUUAGUUCAUAGAGCCUAAAGCAGAUCCAACAUUUAGAAGCUUCGGGUGCCACGUUUCUUUAAACAAUAAAUAAAAUAUUAAGAAAGUGGAGUCAGUAUUUACAGAGGAAAAUUAAAAUUAAUAUUUAUCCAUAAUUUUAACACAACAUAAUGUGUUUCCUUCUUAGUACAGGCAGUGCUUUAGUUAAAAGAGGUCAAGGGUUCUAUUUUGCAUAACCGCAAUUUCUUUUACAAUGAAAGUAGAAAGUAGUUAUAAAAUAGUUCUAAAAAUGUAAUGAGGUAGAAUCGAACCUGUGAAGAAGGGCACGAAAUUGGAGCUUCAACCACCAGCACCACACAGUCACAACAGGUGCCAGGCUUAUUAUUCGUACAUUUAUUAUGCAUACACACAAACAAAUUUAAAGUCAACUCAACAAAUAUCGUAAAAUAGAAAACACGUUUUAUACGUAUAUCAUAAUUUGAGAAAAAUAUAAAGACUCAAAGUGAGCUUGUCCCAUAUACACAUAAAGUGUUGUUGAAAACCUCUUUAUAGUCAAAAUUAUAUUCAAAAAGAUACAUACUUAAAUUUCACUAUAAAUGCCCUAUACAUGCUUAACCGAUUGUCCUCUAUGAGUCCCGAAAAAUCUCUCCUUCAAUGAUCAUGAAUUGAACUCUUAGGAUCUAAAUAUUAGGAUGUGGAUUUGCACUUUAAUAUUUGGUACAAUUGAUGUUAUGAUAAAAAAUUUGAGAAGAAGCUCAUCUUAAAUGUUUGAGAGAAGUUUAUGGUGUUUUCUUUCCCGAAAGGUCAUCCAAAACAUAGUUGGAUGAAUAUCUCAAACUAAAAAGUACUUAUUGAGCACUUUCCAAAGUUGAUUGGGAUCACGAGACCCUAAAGCCGUGAGGCCCAUCACAGGAUAGGGGCCUCAUGCCACAAGGUCCAUUGGGAGCCCCCAUCGUGCUCUUAGUAUCAGACGCAAGGUCACUCCCCACCUUAAACCUUGUUCCAAUCAACUUUCCCAUAUUUUGAGCACUUAGAUGAUUUUUCAAAUUGCUCAUGAUAAUUUACAAUAUUCUCAAUACUUUCGUUAGGAGUCCCUAUUGGAAAAAGUCUUAAAAUGUUAGACUCCAAACUCAAUUCCUCUCAAUUGGAAUAGGUAUCUAACCUCACACACGAGAUUAUUCAUAUUUUAGGUUGAAUUAAGCACAUUUAUCUAGUUCAUACAUAACCCAAACUUACAAAGUUUUUAUACUAUCUUUCCCUUGGGAUCAUUUGUCCUUGAAUGUGGAUAAUGACCUAAAGUUUGACUAACCUCAAAAUUUCUCCCCUAAAUUAUAUUAAUCUAAUUAUUUCCCACAAAGUGGCACAACCUCCACAUGGAUCUUCCUAACUAAAAUGAUUGAGUCAUGAUAUGAACUAAAGGGAUUCAUACCACUAUAAAAUGCUGCAAAAGUACAAUAGCCAAAGCUUAGCACAUACUUGGAAUAGGGAACAAGUGAGGACAUCUAUUUUUCAUGUCUUCUUCCGCUUUUCAAAUUGAUUCCACAGUACUAUCAUUAAGCCAUAAAAUAUUAACUGAUGUUACCUCAUUAAUUCUACAUCUAUUUUGUUGAUUUAGGAUUUGGACAUGUUCCCUUCAAAAGACAAUCCCUCAUUAACUUCUAUCUCAUUAUGAGAUAGGAUAUAAGAAAAAUCAGGUCCUUACAACUUCAACAUAGAUACAUAUAUUGUGAUCUGAUUUUCAAGUUAUGUUAGUACCGACUUUAUUCCACCACUAGGUAAGCCAAAUCGUAGCCCAAAGCUAUAAGAAAUGGGCUAAUUUGGUAGAAAAAUGGCGUAAAUGUUAGAAAUUUGCAAGUAAAUACUUACAAUAGUAAAUCAGGUGAAUAAUAAUAAUAUUAAUAGUACUAAUACAUAGGAUAAAUAAGAUAAAGAUAAUAUCCCAUGGCCUAGUCGUGUUGGUACAAGAUCCACUUAACCAACAAAAUACAAUUACUAGAAUAGUCAAAUACAAAUCAAUCUUGAAUAAUGAAAGACUAGACAUAAAUAGAAGAAGGAAGAAGGGAAACUCCGGCUCCAAGAGUCACCCUAUUUCCGAACUCAAAUCAGCAUGAUCGCAAUGUCAACGGUGGCAACCAAUACUCGAAUUCGCACCAAAAAGGUAAAGAAGUGUAGUACGAGUACCAAAGCCAUGGGUACUCAGUAAGCAUCAUCGAUCAACUAAGCUAAAUCAUAUAAGUAUAAUAAACAUGUAUGAUAAAUAAACUAAGUCAAGAUAAAGGGACAAGCCUGAAAGGAUGCUCCAAAUACUAUAAAUAAGAAAAUAAUCUGGAAUAAUAACAUAAAGAACACAUAAAUAUCACUACAAGAUUGUACCCAAUUAGACAGUCAGUGCAGUAAAGUAAAUAACCCAAACCAAGCCCCCAUAAGCCCAGAGGGUACAAUUAAGAAAGUAAAUAAAUAGAAUUACGGUAAUUAACCAUAUCUUAAUCCAGAACCAUUAAUCCAUCCAUAACAUACCAAACCAUGAAAUGGA
rnacentral:lncRNA from 1 species